rnacentral:lncRNA from 1 species
CGACGACUUUUUACGAUGGUUUUACAUUCAACAAUAAUAUUACGACGAGUUUACGACGAUUUUGCGAUAAAAUUUUUCAUCUACAAUUGUUAGGUAAACAUGUUUUAAAUGUUUUUCACCUAACUCCUUUUUCGACGUAAAAUCGUCGUAAUAUGUACAUCGAAAUGUAGUCGCCGUAUAUUCGUCGUAAUUUUGAGACGAAUUUACGACGGUUUUACAUUUACUAGCAAAUCUCUCGUUAUCGAUGUAUAAUCGUCGUAAUUCGUCGUAAAUUGUACGUCGAGUUUACGACGAUUUUUUUAUACGACGGUUUUACGACGGUUUUUAAAUUAGACGUUAGAUCGUCGUAAAAUCGUUGUAAAUUUGCGACGAUUUAAAAACCGUCGUAAUGGACCGUUGGAAAACGAUUGUUUUUUUGUAGUGCAUUUGCUACGAGUCUGGCCUUGAAACGAGGUUCUUCCACACCUGGUAUACCGAGCUUGUAUUUGUAUAUCCAUCUGCUUCCAAUCACCUUGUGAUUCUCAGGUUUGGUGACUGUAGUCCAGGUAUGGUUCUUGAUUUGAGACUCCAUUUCUUCGUCCAUGGCCUUUCUCCACUUUUCCCAGUGAAUAUCCCUUCUUGCUUCAUUGAAGUCAUUUGGUUCUACUGCAUAUCCAUCUUCUGUUGUGUACAAAGCUUCUGCACAAUAGUCUUCAUCAUCGAAUCUUCUUGGAGCCCUUAUUUCCCUUCUGUCUCUGUCUCGUACUAGAUGAUAACUCAGAGGGGUUUGAUGAAUUGCAGGCUCUGCAUCAUCAACGUUAUCAUCGUGAAUUGAUGGAGAAAUAGUUUGGGUAUUUGGUGAUGGUGGGAGGCCAGUCACUUCUUCAGUAUCUCCACCUGAGGUAGAGUCCUCCGUUGUGUCAAGAUCAAGAUCGAGAAACGAUCUAUCUGAGCUAGUUUCUUCUUCAACUGAAUCAUCGUCUUUUCCAAUUAGAUCCUUGAACACAGCAUUUUCUUGAAAAAUAACAUUCCUGCUUAUAAUGCACUUCCUCUCACUUAUCAACCAUACUUUGUAACCUUUAACUCCAGGUGGAUACCCAAGCAUCACCCCUCUCUUUGCUCUUGGACUUAGUUUGCCAUCAUCUGUAUGUACAAAUGCAAUACAUCCAAACCUCCUCAAGUAACUGUAUACUGGUGGUUUUCCAAACCAUUUUUUGUCCGGUAUGUCGAAGUUAAGAGCUGAAGAAGGGGUCUUGUUAAUGAGAACAACUGCAGUAUGAGUGGCUUCAGCCCAGAAAUUCUUCGACAGUCCUGAAUCACUCAGCAUUGUCCUCGCUUUCUCCAUGAUUGUACGAUUCAUACGCUCUGUAACUCCGUUCUGUUGUGGCGUGUAAGCACAUGUCCUGUGCCUUUGAAUUCCUUUUGAUUCACAAAAUCCAUCAAACAGCUUGUUGCAGAACUCAAGGCCAUUGUCUGUUCUGAGAGUCUUAAUCCUCUUUUCACUUUGAUUCUCCACCAGACGUGACCAUUCAACAAAGCUUUCAAAAGCUUCAUCUUUUGUUCUCAGAAAGUAGACCCACACUUUCCUAGUGUAAUCAUCGAUGAAGGAGAUGCAGUAUUGUCAUCUUCCGAGUUACAUUGGUACUGAUGGUGCUCCCCACAGAUCAGAGUGGACAUAUUCGAGCUUCUCCUUGCUGUCGUGUUGAGCUAGAUUGAAACCCACUCUUCUUGCUCUUCCAAAGAUAUAGUCUUCACAUGUAUCCAUUGCAGACACCUUCUUACCAUCUAAUAACCCUUUCUUGACCAUCGUGUUCAUGUUCUUUUGGCUCAUAUGCCCCAACCUUCUAUGCCACAAUACUGUAUCAUCUUGUCUCCUUAUAACCGCAUGUGAUUCUUCGACUGCAGGUUUCCAAAGCAGAAGAUACAAAGUAUCAAACCUCCUUCCUGACAGCAGUACUUGAUCACCAGCCUUGAUACUGAGAACUCCAUUCUCUGACUCAAACUUGUAGCCAGCCUUUUCAAAGGUCUCCAAAGACAACAGAUUUUGGUCCAUAUCUGGGAUAUACCUUACAUUUGUGAGAGAAACCGUUAAGCCUUCUUCGUUCUUGAGCUUGAUGGUUCCAAGUCCCUUGACUUUAGCCACGGUCUUGUUACCCAUUCUGACUGAACCUCCUGCAUCUUCAUUUAGGUAUUGAAACCACUCCUUUUUAUAUGUCAUAUGAUAGCUGCAUCCAGUAUCCAUGAUCCAUUCAUCCUCCAGAUGUAUAUCUGUUGAUGACAUAGCUUCAGAUACAUAUAGUCCUGUAGCUUUGGCCAAAUUUCCUUUUACGUUUGAGGAUUCACCCUUGCUGCCUUGCUCUUUGGACUUACUCUGAGCCUUUACUUUGUUGGGACAUGAAUUCUUGAAAUGUCCCUCUUCUCCACAGAUCCAACAUCCUCGUUUACUCUUGGAUUUGGAUCUUGACCGACCAGACAUAUUCCCUUUUUCUCUCUGCUCACUUCUUCCUCUAGUCUUGGUUUUUUCUUUUGCAUAGAGGCCCUCAGCUUGUCCUUUGAGAUUCUUCUUCGCUGACCCAAACUCAAGCUCCUUUGAGUAUAUGGCAGCUAUGACCUCAUCUAGGGUCAAAACAUGCUUCCCAGUAGUGUACUUAAGAGUAUCUCUCAGCUGGUCAAACUGCUUCGGAAGUGACAUUAACAAGAGAAUGGCUUGAUCUUCAUCGGACACUAACACCUCUGUGUUCUCGAGAUCUUCUAUGAGAUGAAGGAAGUCAUCGAUGUUUCCUUCAAUAGACAGAUUCUCAGCCAUUUUGAAACUGUAAAGUUUCUGCUUCAGAUAGAUUCGGUUUGGAAGAGCUUUUGAUAUGUACAACUUGUCUAAAGCGGCCAACAUAGAAGCUGCAGUCUUCUCCUUUUUGACUUUCCUUAGAACCCUAUCUGUCAGGCUCAAGACAAUAGUACUUCGAGCCUUUUUCAUCUUUUCAAGCUUCUCCUGCUCAUCUUUACCGUCGUCUUCUUUCUCUUUUCCUUCUUUUGAAACUCCAGAUUCUUUAAGAGCUAUGCUCAGACCAAGAAUGUCAAGAUGAGCUUCAAGCUUUCCUUCCACAUCGUGUAAUCUCCUCGUCCAUCGAACUUCUCCACCUCUACUCUUGCUGAGGACAUGGUUCUCGCUUUAGGUAAGUAGCGAUGAACCAAAGACGCAACCUUUGCUCUGAUACCACUCUGUUAGGACUCAGAGGCCCAAAGAUGUCGACUUUCCUUGGACUUGAGACACAACAAACCAAGAUAUGGGUGUAAGACACAAUAACGAAAUGAGGAAGACACAAAACAGAGUGUUCACAAGGAAUAAGAGAUCUUGAACAAGAUAUUUGCAGAGAAAUAUGAAAGAAUAGAAAAGACAGGAGCACACACCAAGAUUUAACGAGUUCACGGUAUUAAACAACCGCUACGUCUCGCCGAGACUUGUCUCGGAAUCCACUAGAUAAAAAGAGUAGCUUUAUACAACAAGACUAAACAAGAGCCCUGCCUAAUGCCCUUCACUAGCACUUAAUUAGACACUCUUCGAAUCAAUCUUGUACCAAGAAAACAACACCAAAGCUUAUGCUAAACAAGUUUUCUCUAAUCUAUGAAACUCUCUUCUAACACUCAAGUCUUUCUUACCACUCUCCCUCUCUCUCUUCCACACUCGCUUUAUAGCUGCUUCGAAUUAGGGCUUCACCCUUGACUCAACUGCAAAACGCUAACCUUCUCAAACGUCAAACGCCAAGGUUGAGUCUCGGUUUCUUCGUGUUGCAGACCAUAGCACGAGACUUACUGCUUUAUUAUACACCAGACAAUAAGUCCUUAAGGGGUUUGGCAAACUUUGUGUCUUGCCUUUUUAAGCAGUUGCUAAUUCUCCAAUAAAAGUGGUCCCAAAAGCAACUUUAUUGCAGUUUGAAAUAUAACCGUUGCAGGUAAGUUUCUUUAUUACCGCUGAGUCAAAUAAAAACUUACUUGUUCAUCAUAUCCUUUGUCUUCACAGCAACGUCCAUGCUUUGUAAGCUGUUUUAAUUUGAAAAAAAAAAAAAAAGGAGAAUUAUCACCCCCAAAAAAAAAAAGAAAAAAAAAAAGAAAAAGAAAGAGAGAAUCGAUUUAGAACCAAGAGUAAACCGAUUUAGCCAAUUAAACCAGUUUUCGAUUUGUCUUUAACCGAUCCAGAACUAAACCCUAAGAAUCUCUUUCUUCUUCUUUUCCUCGGCCUCUUUUCCUCCCUACCCCAAAACCUGGAUCUUGCGAAUUUGAGUUCGGUAAGUGAAUGAAUGAAGUUGUAAUCGGAGACUGCGAAUCCUUGAUUGAGUAGUCGAACAUUUCAUCAAGGUAUCUACCCACGAGGCUCUGAUUCAUGACCGAGUUUCUAGUUCUUCUCUGUUCACUAGUAAGCACAGGAGAAAUUUCCAGAGAUUUCAUCGCUACACUGUUGAAUCUGCUAGUAAUCAUCACAUUUGCCUUUUGUUCAUGUUUUCGUUGAUACUCCAUGGAACAAGGUCGAGAUUUGCAGUGACCCUUUUCCGAAAUGCAUCUUGUUUCUCCUCUGCUGCAGAUGUGAGCUUUCGAGCUGGUCGAAAAGAGCAGACUUUCACAGUCUCUUACCUUGUUGAUUCAUUGGGGUUCACUAAAAAACAUGCAGAAUCGAUCUCGAGGAAAGUCAGCUUCGAUGGCAAAGGAAAGAAUCCUGAUUCCGUUCUGAAUCUCUUUAAAGCUCAUGGCUUCACAGAUUCUCAGAUAUCCACCAUCGUUACUGCUUAUCCAGAGUUGCUUUUACUUGACGCUGAGAAGUCUCUUGGUCCCAAGCUUCGGUUUCUUCACUCCAGAGGAGCUUCAAGCUAUGAGCUCGCUGAGAUCAUUUCCAGAGUUCCAAAGAUAUUGGGAAAGAAAGGGGACAAAACUCUCAGCUUAUACUAUGAUUUCGUCAAAGAUGUUAUUGAAGCUGAUAAAAGCUCAGAGUUUGAAAUCGAAAAGUCUCGUCAUUCUUGGCCAGAGGGUAACAACAAUAAGCAGUCGAACAAAUUUCGAAAUGUAUUGGUUUUGAGAGGAUUAGGCAUGCCUCAGAAGCUUUUGUUCCCUUUGCUCAUCUCGGAUUACCAACCUGUCUAUGGCAAAGAAAAAUUUGAAUCAUCACUCAAGAAAGUGGUCGACAAGGGCUUUGAUCCGACCACCUCAAGGUUUGUCCAAGCGCUACACGUUGUUUACCAAACAAGCGACGAAACUAUCGAAGCGAAAGUUGAUGUCUUUAAAAGUUUAGGCUUCUCCGUGGGAGAUGUAUGGGAGAUUUUCAAGAAAUGGCCUUUCUCUCUGAAGUUCUCGGAGAAGAAGAUAAAUCAGACGUUUGAAACACUCAAGAGGUGCGGUCUGCUCGAGGAAGAGGUCCUCUCAGUGUUGAAGAAGUUUCCGCAACUCAUUCGCCUUUCAGAGCAGAACAUAGCUAACUCCGUUGAAACAUUUGUAGGUCUAGGAUUCAGCAGAGAUGAGGUCACAUUGAUGAUCAAGCGUUUUCCUCAGUGUCUUAAUUUAUCUGCAGAGACGGUUAAGAAGAAGACUGAGUUUCUUGUGAAGAAGAUGAGUUUGCCACUAAAGGCUGUGGUUUCAAACCCUCAGGUUCUUGGAUACAACAUGGAGAAGAGGACUGUCCCAAGGUGUAACGUAAUCAAAACUCUCAUGGCAAAAGGAUUGAUCGGAAGUGAACUCCCUUCAAUGUCAUUUGUGUUGGCGAUUAACGAUCAAGCUUUCUUGAACAAGUAUGUGAGGAAGCUCGAUAACAAGAAGCUUGUUGCUGAGUUGAUGGCUAUCUUCACCAGAGUUUGUAAGGCACACCUAGAAGACUGAGCAACGUUAAUGAUUUUUAUUUUUGUUUUUUGUGAGUUUAAGCAUCAUCGUUGUUGAUUUGUGAACUUACAAUUUUUGGUACAAGCACGAGUUAAACCAAACAAAGAUCAAAGAUCGACGUUGUGUCCAUUAUUGGAGUUGUUCUAUUUAUUUAAAAAGCCAUGAAAUAAAGCCUAACUUCUUUAGGACAUGGGGCUUUGAAGCUAAACAACAUGAGGAACCUUGGACAAAGACUCAUUUAUCUUCUCUUCACUGAAUGAUAAAUCUAUCAAUUCUCCUCGUAGAUACUUGUCGUAUGAGGGAAGAUCAAAGUGGCCAUGUCCACACAUUGCCAUUAGUAUCACUUUUGCUUCUCCUGUUUCUUUGCAUCGGAGAGCUUCUCUUAUGGUUGCAGCAAUGGCGUGAGUUGGUUCUGGUGCUGGUAUUAUCCCUUCCGUUCUUGCAAACUGAAUAGCACCUGCAAGAAAAUCAGACCGGAAAGUUUGGUAUUACAGUCCAAUGCAAAUGUAAAAGAGAGUAAAUUAAAUCUAAUAAAACUAAUUUGCGGAAUUGAUAGAUAUUUGCCAUUAGGUGAAGGACCACCUUGGAAACAUUCGAUUUGAGGAAUCGAGAUUGCUUCCAUGAAACCUUGUUCAUAAACAUGUGAGAUCAAAGGUGCCAUCCCAUGGUACCGUAAUCCUCCUGCCAAAAACCAUAGAAAACAAGAAUCAAGAAUCAAGAAAACAAGAAUUCAGUAAUCAAGAAGCUACAAGCAAGAACCAUGAGCCAAGGAUCAAGAAUUAAGAAAUCACGAAUCAAGAAGCAAGAAAACAAGAAUUCAGUAAUCAAGAAGCAACAAGCAAGAACCAUGAGCCAAGGAUCAAGAAUUAAGAAAUCAAGAAUCAAGAAUCAAGAAAAUAACAAUCAAGAAGCAAGGAGUUUGAGAAGCCUUUAGGUUUAGUGUCUUAAAACUUAAUAAUAAUUAUUACCGGCAUGGAUAGGAUCAGGAAUGAAGUCAUGUCCUAAAGUAUGCAUCUUCAUCAAAGGUGUCAAUCCAGCUGUAUCCCCAAAAUCAUAAGCGUAAACGCCUUUGGUCAAGGAAGGACAAGCUGAUGGCUCAACCGCUCUUAUAACAGGGUUGAUCUUGCCUUUGAGUUUCUCCCUGAUAAAAGGAAAACUCAAGCCUGCAAAAUUUGAUCCUCCACCGGUACAUCCUAUGAUCACAUCAGGCGUCUCUCCAAAAUCUUCCAUUUGCUUUAUGCAUUCUUCUCCAAUAACCGUCUGGUGUAACAACACAUGGUUCAAUACACUGCCUAGGCAGUAUUUUGUAUCCUCGUUUCUUGCAGCAACUUCAACAGCUUCUGAAAUUGCAAUGCCUAAACUUCCAGGGCUUGAUGGGUCAGAUUCAAGGAUUCUUCUACCUGCCUCAGUGAGAUCUGAUGGCGAUGGAUGAACCUUUGCUCCCCAAGUUUGCAUCAUUAGCCGUCUAUAUGGCUUUUGAUGGUAUGAAUUGGCCACUUGCCAUACCUAUUAGCAUAAAAGAAACAAGAACUUAAUAAGAAACAAGAAACAAGAACCUAACCUUGAUGCUUAUUUCGCAGUCAAGGCCAGAUAAACAAGAAGCAAAGGCUAAAGAAAUAAGUAACUUAAUAAGAAACAAGAAACAAGAACUUAAACUUGAUGCUUACUUCGCAGCCAAGGCCAAAUAAACAGUAAGCAAAGGCUAAAGAAACAAGGAGUUAACUAGAAGGAUUAAUUGUUCAAGAUAUCGCUGCAAGAAUAUAAUCUUUGUACUUACUUCGCAGUCAAGGCCAAAUAAGCUAGAAGCAAAGGCUAAAGAACUGCCCCAUUGGCCUGCGCCGGUUUCUGUCACAACGUUCUUGACGCCUUCUUUGGCAUUGUAAUAAGCUUGUGGAACUGCUGUGUUGGGCUUGUGUGAACCAGCUGGGCUACCACCUUCAUAUUUGAAGUAAAUCCUGGCAGGUGUUUGAAGAAGCUUCUCCAAUCUCUUUGCUCUACAACCAAAGCAAGAACAACCAAAUCUUGAUAAAACAUUCAUCUUGGACUAAUGGUGAAACACUUUAGCUAAACUGAUGCACUCAGACUCUUGAAUCUGUAGUAUGAAGAACAGAACAAAUCCUCUGUAUUAUUCAUCUUUUAAACAUAAGAAGAAGAAAAAAUCAAGAACCUGAUUAGAGGAGUUGGACGCCAAAGCUUAUAGAUCUCAAGAACUUCCUCAGGAAUAUCGAUAAACCUCUCUAAUGUUGCUUCUUGUUUAAUCAACUCAUUGGGGAAAAGAUGAGAUAAAUCUUCUGGUUUGAUCGGUUCGAAAGUCUUGGGAUGCAAUGGUGGAGGAGGUUUAACAGAAAGAUCAGCAAUAAUAUUGUACCAUUGAUUAGGAAUCUCAACAGAUGAUUUGUGGUUAUUAGAUCUCAAAGCUGCUUUUGCUCUUAAGUUAAAUCCAUUUGAGGCUCUUGUUGCUUGGUUUGACUUUCUUUUCAGAGCAAAGUCAUCACCUAAGUCAAAUCAAAACCGAUCUCAAGACAUAAAAAAACUGAACUUUGAUCAAGCUUGAGCUUCAAUAGCUAUUCAAAACCCAUAAAAAGAAAAAGAAAAAAAAAAGAAAUCUUUAACACAAACGAGAGUCCAUAUUAAAGGUACCUGUAAAGAAAACUUUAGCUGAGACUGAUUUGGUGAAUGCGUUUGGAGGCAAAAGCAAUUGAGAAGCCAUUGCCAAUUUUUAAUAGAAAUUUAGGGAUUUUGAGCUUUGAAGACUAUGAGAGUGAGAGUAUAUCCAAGAGAUCGGUGGAGAAAAUAAAUAAAGGAUACUCAAAGGAAGGCUUCCCGGCACCCAACGACAUCUCACUAUCUGAAUACUAUUUUGUUUUGUCUUCUUUUAAAUUAUUUUUACUAAAGCUCUGGAUUUAUUUAUCAUGCUUUUCUUAUUGUAAUUACUUUACACAUUGUCUUUUUCCUUCCUCUUGUUCUCCUUCUAUUUUCUUCUACCAAAUUCAUCAAACCAAAAUCAAGAAAUCUCCAUAAAGUAAUUACAAUAAACUAUUACUCAUAUUAUUAUUUUCUUUUGUUAAAUCCACGUAUAAAACUAAAUGAAAAAAAAAAAUUUAAAUGAUAGGAAAACCAAAUCGGAAUAAUUUUUCAAAUUUUAUCAUCUCCAAUAUGUUGAUGAUAUUGCGGCAUUAAUGUUCUAUUACCAAAGAUUCAACGGCCAAAAUCCAAACUAAUAUAUUUGUGGGCAAGAAUAGUUUCUAACUGUUCAUUCAUUUAGUGUCUUUUAUGAUGGCUAUAGGACCCUAUAAAUCAACCAUCAGGCAAUCAUCAACUCUAGUCACUUUCUACAUUUAUCACGAUCUUUAAUUUUACCAUAAACAUUACCAUUUAUCUCCCAUUCUAAAAACAAAUAUCACAAUUCGCAUAUACUCUUUACCCAAUUGCAUUGAGUUUGACUUAACAAGCCUAGCCUUGCUUGCAUAUUGACUCUUUCAGUUUAGGAAACUUUGGUUUCUGACUUUAUCAUUUGAUAUUUCAUUUACGUUUAUUUACUUGAUUAAAUCUUCUGCUUCUGUUGAACCGAUUCUAUUUAGUAAUACUCCAAAAUCAAACUCCUUCACCAAUUUACAAUAUAUGUUAUACAUUUAUAAACAUAGCAUUGGUGAGUGUAUGUAUGUAUACACAUGGUUGAAACAAAUAGAACUAUGUGGAUGAAAGCUGAGCCAGCCAUGGAAGGAGACGGUCAUGGACAAGAUCUGGACGAUCAUCUUGUGGGCAAUGUCCAACGCCUUCUAGAACAUAGAGGUUGAAGUUAGGUAACUGACCCGGAAGGGACGUGAAGUACUUACCUACAGGACCGUCAAGAGGGGUUAAUCCAUCUUGGUCUCCCCAUAAGACGAGAACCGGUUUGGUUAUUUCCGGAAUCAGCUUAAUCGGGUUUGGUCCAGGUGGACCGGUCAAGAUUGAUACAAAUGCAUCUAGUGCACCUUCGCUGUUUGCUGGUCCAGCGAUAAUCUGACAAAACAUUUUCACACACAAAAAGGUAACAAAAUUUAGUUGAUACCUUGUUAUUGAGAUCAUAGUGCGAGUAUUAGAACCAUACCUCUACAAGGGUAUCAUCUACAUUGUCUUUGUUUCCGUAAACAUUUGUCAAGAUGUUCUUGAGAUUUUCCCUGUCUUUAACGCGGUUGAAGAGUGCGGAAGCGAUUCCUCUUUGCUUGAGUAAGAAGUCGAUAAGCAAGAGCAAUGGCAUCAGAAGCUUGAUUCUCCAGUCAUCAAACACAGCUUUGUUGUUCAUACCACCAGCACAAUUCAACAGAACAAGACCUUUAACCAGAUCUUGUUUUGAUUCUGAUUUUUGCAAAGUCACACACACUCGAGUCUUAGAUAAAAUAGAUAGCAGAUAAUCGACAACAUUAGAUAAAAGCAAAGAAAAGAAACUUUGGCAACAACUUCUCGGAGAUAAAGUGUGAUCUUGGAGACCAAUCACUAACUAAAACUCAAAUGCUUUCUACCUUUAAUUGGUUCCUAUGCAAAAGCAAGCUCUUGUGUCACAUUUACAUAUCCUACUGGUUCAAGUUAAGAGAAUUAGAAACUGAUCCAAGUAGUGAAAAGGGCUUAGACCUGAGGCGGCGAUGACGCAAGCAAGGCUUCCAACAGAGUUUCCGAUCAAAAUAGUCGGUUUCUGAACCACUUCCUCCAAGAAGUUGAGUAUUAACUACAACAAACACAAGUAAAUCCAACAACCAAAACCAAAAACACUUCUUUAAAACAUAUACAAUGCUGAAGUAUUUCAAAGAUGGUUACUUACUUCAGCCCAUGACUCCAUAGUAUAGCUAAAACCAGGUGGCUUCUCCGAAUCACCAAACCCAAGAAGAUCAAUCGCAUACACUGUAUGGUUUUUGGACAGAGCAUUUAUGUUCCUGAGAAUAAAGUUCAGCUUUUUUUUCUUGUAAAUGCAAUGCCUUUACACAAAAUCCAUCACAUUUCACCAAUUCUAUAAGAAACCCAAAACUCCAUGAAUCAAAGAUUGAGCUUUUCGAAUUUAGGGAUAAGCGAUACCUUCGCCAGUGAGGAAUCGAAGCGCCAAAGCCAUGAACCAAGAGAAGGGUCUGACUCGCCGGAGUUACUUCCUCCGGCGAGCUCUUGACGAAGUAAUUGAUUGAAUAUUCUCCUUUCCACUUCCAUUUAUUACUUCUCUCUCCAAUCUCAGACAGUUCCACCGCUUCCGCUACUCCUCCGCCGGAAACCGCCGCGCUAGACGACGCCGUGGCUCUAACACAGACGCGAUCUCCACGGAGGUUAAUCCGUCGUAAUGUAACCAUCGUUGGAGUCGCCGUUCGCGCCGCCACCAUUGUCGGCGGCGGCGACAUUCCCGUCCAUGUCAGAGCUCUCAUCGUCUCUGCUUCUUCAGUUAUCCAAUUUGGUUAAUUACUAUGCCAUUAGAAUUUAGAAACAACUUUCUCUGGUUCAAGUUUCGGUAGAACCCGGUUAACAAAUAGUUUGAUUAACCAAAAGCUCCAAUUUUAGAAAACUAAGUAUCAAAUAAACCGGUCGGUACAGUGGACUGGGGAGAAUCCAAAUGGAAAGAACAACAGCCAUUCGUUUGGUUAUGGAGUGAGAGAGGUGCCCACGUGGCGUUGUAUUGAUGGUUAACGAAGAUAAGCAGGAUAUCAAAUUACAGAAUACAAAAUGAUUGUGAAAUUUGUUUUGAUUUGAUAUAUACGCUUCGAUUAGAUAAUAAAAUAUUAAUAAAAUCGGUUUAAAUACAAUGACCAAACUUAUAUUGUUUCACAAGCACACGAACUAGUUAAUAAAUCGACUCUUCCGCUUCGAUUAAAAAAAGAUUACCUUAGGGAAUCUCACGACCACCUCUAAUUCUUCAACUAUUGUACUAUGAUCAAUCUAUACUAUUAAAAAAAAAAGAAAAAUGUGUUUUAUGUCCAAACAGAAUUUUUACUUGAUUUCCUACUAUUCUGUUUUUGGAUAACUAUUUGGUUGCCAAACAGUUAUGAUUUUAAUUUAUAUUUACUAAAUAAAUUAAUUUAGUGUAAUAUUAAUAAAAUAAUAAAUUUUAAUUUUAAUAUAAAUUUGAAAAUUUAAUUUUUAGUUUAGAUGUUAUAAAUUUCCUUAAAGAUAGGUUAUAUUAUCAAAAAUUAUAAAAUAAAUUAUUAUUAUAUUUUUACAAAAAUAAUAACCCAAAUAUUAAUUUAGAUAUAAUUUAAAUAUUUAAACUUAAAUAAUAUUUUCAAUGAAAGAAAUGAAAAUUAUAUAUUAUUAUAUUUUUAUCAAAUAAUUUUAAAAUUUAAAUAUUUAAAAUAUAUAAAUAAUAUGAACAGAUAUAUUAAAUAUUUUAAUAAUUUUGGUUUUUUGAUGAGCAUAUUAUAAUAAGAUUUUUUAAUUAUGAUAUUUUUCAAAUCAAUAUAAAUAGACAUGUUAGAAUAAUGUUUUUCUAAUCUCGGUCAUAUAUAAUACUAGAAUAGAUAAAUCAAUAGAAAUAAAUUAUAUUUAAAUAGAAAUUUUGUUAUCAAUUAUUAAAAAAAUUUAUAUAUGAAAAAAAAAUUUAUAUUAUAUAAAUAAAAAUUAGUUCAUGUGCAGACGCACGGGUAAAUUCUAGUGUCAUCUGAAAAAUCCAAAACAAACUAACCGAUUUAUACUUAUGUUAUGUUGAUUGUGUACUUUCAACUUAAAAUCUAUUAUAUAAAUGUAAGAAUUUGUUUUUUUUUCUAGAGAGUCCACAUUAAAAAAAAACACAAAUACUAAAAUUAAUAAUUUAAUUAAUUCACAUAUUUUUUUUUCAAAAAGAAUAGAAAUAAAAACUGAAAAUAAAAAAGAAAAAGAAGUUAGAGCAAGAUAUAUGAUAGAAUUGAAUGGUCUUUUAUUGAAAAUCUACUGAGACAAUUUGGUUUUGCAAAAAAAAAUGAAUAACAUGAAUGAUGCGAUGUACUACUUCAAUAUAAUACAAAGUUCAGUUAAAUGGACAACCCAAUGGACAAAUUAACCCGGGAGAAGGGCUCGGAAGAAGACCCUUUAUCACCAUGUUUAUUUAUAUUUUGUACGGAGGUCUUAAUUGCAAGAGCUAUCCCACCAGUUUCUCACUUACGUUGUCGGGCGAUAAUUUGUUCUUUUCCAAAGCAAAUAAAGAACAAUGUCAAAAAAUCAUGCACAUACUACAACAAUAUGAACAGGUCUCGAGACAGCAAAUUAGUUUUGACAAAUCCUCUUUACAAUUUGGACAUACAGUCUCGGAGGAGGUUCAAUGUGAGCUGAAACAAAUUUUAGGAAUCUCUAGAGAUGGAAGCGCGGGAUCUUAUCUUGGUAUUCCGGAGAGUUUAGGUGGAGUGAAGAGUAGUAUUUAAAUUUUGUAGAAAAAGACAACAUGAUUGGGUUAAUAGCUGGAUAUCGUGUCUAUUGGCAAAAGAGAGGCAAAAAAAGUUUUAAUUAAAUCAGUGGCAUCAGCAAUGUCCACCUUUUUCAUGUUAUUGUUUGGUUACCCAGAUCUACAACGGCGAAACUAACUGAUGUGAUCAUGGAUCCGAAGUAAGUUAACGAGGUUCCAAAGGAGGCAUUGGUCAUUCUGGAGGCUCUCAUGACACGGGCCAUGUCCCAUAAGCUAGCAGAAGCUUUCCGGAUUUUGCUGAAUGAAGUCCAGAAGAUGGAGGUUCAAAUCUGGAUCGAUGAGGAGCAGCUUGUACAUACCAUCUUAACCUCAAUAUCAUAUGUGGAUUCUGCUUGAGGUUUGGCCAAUGUGUAAGUAGGUUGUACUCUUUUUCUUAUACUCGGUUUUGUCCCAAUAGAUUUUCCGAGUGGAGGUUUAGUGAGGCAAUGGGCUUACACUCUUUUCUCGGGUCCAAAACUCAGCAAAAAUGCCAAGGAUCAUUUUUGGCUGGAAGUUCAAGGGUCAGUCAAGGCAACCGAGAAGACAUUGAAACUAUCUUUAUUCUUAGUCUUUGCUUCAUUUAAUGUAUUUUGACAUUUUUGAGUAUGGCUCUUGGCCUACUCCUUCCCCUAUAUAAAUGAUGUAGAGAUCUCAGAUCUCAUUAUUCACUUCUUCUUAAUAAAUAUCGUUUAGAGAAUCCUCUCUUCUGUUCUUCGUGAACUUUGUCUAAUUUAUUAGUGGUUAGCCAACAAAUUAAUUUUGGUUUAUCAAGUGUUGUCUAUAUCACUUGACGCAGCCUUCACCUCGUUGUCUUGUUGAGACGUUUUAAGUCGUUUAAAGGGCACCAGGAUUUUUGGGAUCUGAUCUCACGCCUGGUCAUCUACUGUAUUCUCAUCCAGUCAGUGAAGCCACCCCAUUGUUUCAAGCCUUGAUUGCAAGUUUGGGCCCAAGGAUCUUCGAGUUCAUCACUCACCCCUUGGCAUCUCUCUUUGUGAAUUAUUUGGACUCAAGAAUCUAUCAACCUCAUACUGAUCUAGAGUGUGUAUUCCGUGGGUAAUCAUAUCACUAACUAGUGCCACAGCGCGAUAUUGGUGGAGCUCGAAUGGUCAACAUUAAGGUAUGCACUGGAUGGCGUAGGAGAAACUGUGUAGAGGAAAGGGAAAAAUGCCCAGAAUGCUCCUCAAUCUUGAAUUUUAUUCUAUAAUACUCCACAUACAAUUAUUAAUUUUUUUUAUUUUUUUUUUAAUUCGAAAGUUUAAUGUAAUGUCUAAAAAACCAAAGAGAAUUUUCAUAAUUACAGAUCCAACCACUAAAUGGGUCGGGUACUGGGCUUUCCGAUGGGUUUGGGUCGGAUCUGAGUAAUUUUUGUAAGUAAAUUUUUUUUUGCUGCUUCUCUUUUUCAAAUCAAAAAAAAAACGAGAGAAGAGGAGAGGAAGAACCCUAAUCGGAAUCGGGCAUUUCGAAAAACCCCAAUUGUCCGCCUUCAGAACUCGAUUGGCGGCGAAUCAUCCCCUACAUCACUCGAUCGUCUUUUGUUGUGAUGGCUUGGACGGAGACAACCUCCGCAAAACCUCCAACCUCCGCAAAACCGCCAUGUUUGGGUAAGGGAGGUCCACCGACCCUAAGCGAGUUACGCAAAAUGGUGAGGAGUCGGCAAGAGAAAGUGAAAGCCGGCAAUGAUGAUGAUGAUACAAAUGUGGAGGUAUGUUUCGUCCAUAUGGAUUAUUGUGUGCAUUAAGUAAAACUGGAGCAACUAAACGAAAUUGGUACAACUAAUAUAGGUGAACGCCGAGGAAAAAGAGAAGAAAGAGAUUCCGAAAGACCAAGAGGAGGAGGAAGAAAAGGACCAAGAGAAGGAUGAAGUAAAAGACCAAGAGGAGGAGAAUCCGAAAUACCAAGAGGAGGAGGAAGAAAAGGAACAAGAGGAUGGGGAAGAUGAGGUAUUAGAGGAGGAGGAAUAAUCAGACCAUGAGGAGGAGAUAGAAAAGGACCAAGAGGAGGAGAAAGAAAAGGAACAAAAGGAGGAGGAAGGUGAGGAACUUGAGGAGGAGGAAAAUGAGGAACAAGAGGAGGAGGAGGAAGGUGAGGAACAUGAGGAGGGGGAAGAUGAUGAUGAACAGGAGGCAGAAGACGAUGAUGAACAGGAGGCGGAAGAAGAUGUAGACUAUCGAAGCCAAGCUAUACCACCAGAGAAGUUGUACUUUGAACCCGAUAUGUUUAAUAUCAACAUCAAGCUGUCAGGAAGAUGCUACAUUGAGAAGGUUGUGAAAACAUUAGAAAAGGUGCUAGAUGAUAGAGAGUUGAGGUGGUUCAAAACGCACCCUCAGUUCAAGCACUUCUUCCACAUGUACGUGGAAGAAAAUCAUAAAUCGCAGGGAUGUGGAUGCUUAUUCUGUGUAUGGUGCCUUCAAGCAAGAUGAAGGAAUGCUGGUUUGUAGUAAAUGGGGUGCCCAUCCGGUAUUCUUUGAGAGAGUUGGGGCUUAUUUCUAGAUUGAACUGUCGAAGCUACCCUAAGAACUACGAAAGGUUAGGUGGUGACAGUAGUAAGUUUGUUGAAAAGUAUUUUGGUGAAGGGAAGAAGAAAGUAACAUUGAAGGAUGUAGAUGAGAAGAUGGAGUCAAUGAAAUCAAGUAAAGUGAGAGGUAGGAUGAAUAUUGCUGUCCUUUACUUCUUAGCCAACAUAAUUGUUGGGAAGACGAAGACAGGUAAUACUGCUGCAGGUGUAGAGCCUUUCUUUUUGAGAGCGGCUAGUGAUUUAGAUUUGUGUGAAACAUUUCUGAGGGGACGAUUUGCAUUUGAUCAGAAUAUGAAGGACAUUCGCAAUAUAGUGAAGAAUUUAAAUGGGAAUGUGCCUGAAGGUGCGAACAAAGUGUUUCCUAGUUUCAUUAUUCCUAUGGAGGUAAAUAAGAAUAACUGUCAUAAUGUGUUGUCUGAUUCUUUGUAUGUAUGUUCCUUUUAAUUUUGUUUAGUAAUUCAUGUUGUGUAAUGUGUAGCUACUAGCUUAUGAGGCAAUUCCAGCCCUUGGUAGACAUUUUAGAGAAACUGUUGUAGAAGCCGUGGAUAGCUGUCCAAGGAUGUGCAAGAGCAGGUUCAAGAAAGGAGAUUUGAAAGGUUUUGCACUUUCGAAAAUAAAUUCUCAACUUGGUGCAACAAAGGUUAGAACUCAAAUCUUAGCAAAUAUUGAGUAUAUUCUCCAUUGCUAGGAUCAACCUGAAUAGUUUUUUUUGGUUUUAAAAGGAUAUUCAUAGUGUGUUGGCUCCAUCGAAUGAUGAGAAGCAAUUGCUGGCUCUCAUCAUGGACGAUGAAGAUAUAGACCAAGAUGUAGCGGAUUAUGUUGUUGAUGGUUGGAAAUCGAUUUGCUGGAGGAGAAAAGUGAGAUAUUCUUUGAGGAAAUGUUCAACAAAGAUGUCAAUAGCCGAAAGAACAAAGGGAAAAAGCAUUAGUCCUAAAACACCAGCUCGUUAAACCGCAUCGACUCCUACAACUACAAUUGAGGUAGAGAAACUGAUUGCAGGCUUAGAGGGCUUGACGAAAACAGUGGAAGAUGGGUUUAUGGAAACGAGAAGUAAGUUAGAUGAUCAUGACAAAUGAAUCAAAAAGAUGGAGCUGUAUAUAGGUGAAGAGAAGAACAGAAAUCAAGAAGACGAAGAGAAUCGUCUUAAUUAACUACUUUGAUGCAGAUUACCAUGGCGGUGGUGAGGAGGCAAAUGAUGGCGCUGGUUGUGCUGGGAAGAAGCAAACAGAAGGAGAGAAUGUGGAAGAGAAUGUGGAGAAGGAUAAAGAAGAGAACGAGGCAGGAGCUGAUGUGGAGAAGGAUAAAGAAGAGAAUGAGGAAAUAGACGGAGAAGUGCCAACCCGUGUAACUAGGACUCUUGGACGAACAAGGAAAAAAUCACAAUACAAACAAACCCCUUUUACAGAAGAUAAGAAAGGGAAGAAAAGGUCAACGAAGGAUGAAAAGAAGAAGGGAGCUCCCAAAGGAAAAAAACAAAAGACUUAGAGUAUAGGUGCUGGUUUAUGAUCUUGUUUAAGACUUUUGCUUGUACUAUUUUGCUAUUUUAUUUUGCUUGGACCUUGUUUUAAAACUUAUGCUUGUAAUUUUGGUUUUAAAACCCAGAUUUGUACGGUUUAGAACAAAUUAGGUGGCACAACUGGUAAAACUGGAAGUACUAAUCAGCUAAAUUUGUUUGAAGAACAAAUUAGUUUGUUGGAACAACUAGUAAAACUGGAAGUACUAAUCGGCUAAAUUCGUUCGAAGAACAAAUUAGGUGGCACAACUGGUAAAACUGGAAGUACUAAUCGGCUAAAUUCGUUUGAAGAACAAAUUAGUUUGUUGGAACAACUGGUAAAAGUGGAAGUACUAAUCGGCUAAAUAUGUUUGAAGAACAAAUUAGUUUGUUGGCACAACUGGUAAAACUGGAAGUACUUAUCGGCUCCAUUUAAAAUAAAAUAACAUAAGAUCCAUCAUUAUUCUACAACAUUUCUUUUGAAGCAACUAAACAUUUCUUAAAAUCUCCUUGAGUUUAGCAAUUUCUUCAGCAUUUUUUUUCAGCUCCAUCUGCAUCUGUUUGACCUGAAAUUCAAGGAGGGCCAUUCUUCGAGUCUUCUCUCCAUUAACAGCAACAUCCUUCUUGAUCCUAUCAAUCUCUUCUCCCACAGCAUCCGCCCAUACUUUGCGAACAUGUAAGCCAUCAUUCUACACAUAAUGAAAAAAGUAAAAUCGAAACCUAGAUUUGGCAAACCUAAACCCAGAAAAUGAAAAAGUUCAACCGAAAUUGCAAAACAGACAGACCUUGAAGUUCUCGCAUUGAAAGUAUCUCGUUUGAGAAGACCCAUCGGUGACAACAAGCUGUCCUCCACAUGGACAACGAUACGUCGGAAUUCCAUAGUCACCAUCCGCUAUGCAAUACAACAUAUCGAUGUAUUUCUAGUUUCUUUUGAACUCGCUGUAACUCUCAGGAUCCAUAACAAGAGUUUGGGAGGGGUGGAGAUAUUUUUCUUGAGAGAGAAAGGUUUUUAGAGGACAGAAGUACAAGAGGAAUGAAGUACAAGAGGUUUUAAGUACCAAAAAUAGGAAAAAUAAUGAAUUCUGAAAUAUUUCAAAUUGGCGCCAUUUCGAAAUUUUUAAAAUUUUGAAAAUGAGGGGAAAACUAUACAUAGUUGUACCUCUUAGUUGUACAGUUUGUCACACUCUCAAACAGUUGUAUUUUUGUCGAAUUCUAUUUUUUUUGGUAUUACCUAUGAUUAAUGAAACAUGUGUUGGUUGUACCGAUCAUAACUGCUAACUUAAAGAGAUUACAAGCACAUUUAUGAAAUAACAUUUAGGAUAUGUCAAAGUUUGAUGAUAUUGGUUUAUACCAAGGCUAUUUGGUUCAAAGUAUCCAUAAAACCUAUGAUAUUAUAUGGGAUAAGUGUGCACAAACGGUUUUCAUAAUUUGUAAAUUACGAAAUACACAUUGUUUUUAGUAAAUGUUAUACAUUUAUAUAGAUAUUUAAUUACAUAUACUCUGGAACUAUAUGUUAUUUUUAAAAUAACAUAUCUAAACCCCGAUUAAAUAUAUAGAAAAUUUUACAAAUAGUUGUUCCAAUUAGUUCCAGUAAUACCAAAACACUCAAACAUACAGGGUUUACGAAAAUAGCCGGGUAGUUGUUCCAAGUAGUUCCAGAAAACUCGAACAUAUAGGGUUUAGGACAAUAGCCGGGCAGUUGUUCCAAGUAGUUCUAGUAAUACCAAAUACGUAAACAUACAAAUUAUAAAUUUUCGGGUAGUUGUUCCAAGUAGUGCCAAUAAUACCAAAAAAAAUUUACAAAUUACAAAUAGCCGGGUAGUUGUUCUAAAUGGUUCCAGUAAUACCAAAAUUCGAAAAUGCAAAUUACACCGUCUGGUUUGAUUCCGCGUUUGUCCCGUCCGUCUCCGCGUUUGUCUCCGAACCUUGACUAUAAUGUAACCAAGUCCUUGCAAAAUUUUGUCCUGGCACCCGUUUAUUAUCACGGUGGUGUUCUCCCGUGGAUGUGAACCUCUUAUCCCUCCUUCUUCCUUUCUUUCGCUUGGGUAAAUCUGGUGGUUUGCAGACAAAAUCACAUGUUUCAGCUGGAAUUAACCACUGAUAUCUAGGCGGUACUGGAUAGAUCGUCCUCAUGUAUGCUAACUUCCACUGGUCAGUCCAAUAAUAUCUAGAGCACAGGUCAUGGUAAUGGAAAUACCUGGAUCCAUCUUUUUGUUUGUUGCAUUUCAUAGCUGCAGCUAACGCAUGUACACAGGGGUAAUUGUCUAUGUCAAAAUGCUUGCACUCACAAGUUUUCUGUAACAAGUGUACCACAUAAGUUUUCCAUCUUUUCCAGUAACUUUGUAUAUGAACUCGAAACUGUUUAGUUCCACAACAACUAGUUUCUUGGCAACUAAACAUCUCGAGUGCAAUAUAUUCUCCACAUAAGGCACUAAUUUUUCUGUCACCUGACCAAAUGCAGCCUCCUUCCUAUGUCUGUUAAACCAUUCACUAAAUUUUGCUACAAUCACAUCGAUCAUGGCCAAAAUUGGUAACCUCCUAACUUUAUUAAAAACACCAUUUAUCGACUAUACACCAUUACUAUUGUCAAUGUUGUACCUUUCACCAGGAAAAUAACAUCUUGCCCAGUAUUUCACACUAUUGAUGGUCUCUGUGCCAUAUUCCUGCCCUUUUUCAAGAUAAGUGACAGCGGUUGGGUACCUCCUUUUAAAUUCAUCAUACUUUUGCAGGAACUCAGCUUCUGUAUACACCUUGCACACUCUCUGAAUUUUUCAGCGGCCUCCUCUUUGUUCACAUAAUAAACAUGAGAUUUCACAUUUUACGACAUAUGAUAUAUACAAAAGCCAUGUUGAGCCCUCAGGUAUACUUCACCAACCACUUUAACUAAACUUUGAUUACGGUCAGUUACAAAAACCAACUCACCAUUAUCUGGAAAAAUGGUUUUGAACCUUUCGAAAAACCAAUUCCAACUUGCAUCUUUUUCACCAUCAAUAACACCAAAUGCAAGAGGGUAAUGGUGGUGAUUAGGGUCUUGAGCUGUUGCAAUAACUAAAACACCAUUAUAGCCAGCCUUCAGAAAUGUUGCAUCUACAAUAAUAACUUUCCUCAUUCCUUCAAACCCUUCGACGCAAGGUCCAAGGGCAACAAAAAGGUACUUGAACCUCUCUUCACCGUCUAAACACAAUUUCGUUUUUGUUCCAGGAUUAGCCUGCUCCAGCAUGUAUAAGUAAGAAGGCUGCAACAAGAAACUCUCCACUGGAUCCCCAAUCACUUCAUUACGAGCUAUAUUUCUCCCUCUCCAUGCAGUAGCAUAAGACACUGACACACCAACCUUUGUUUGAAGCAAAGUCAUAAUUUCAGUUGGUGUUGUGGUCUGCAACUGACUUGCAUACUUUUCCUUCACCAAAGAUGCAACUAACCUUUUUGUGCCUCUUGUGCUAGCGUAGCCACUACGUGACACCCAGGAGCAUGUAUGCAUUUUAUUAUAUCUGGUAACUUUGAAAAAUCCUGAUUUUGCACCUUUCACAACUCAAAUAUGCCAAGCACAACCCUUAUUUUUCAGCAGCACAUUUCACCACCCACCGCUUCUUAUCUGAGUUCUUAAGUGAGAUCCCAAAACAUUUACUAAGUGAAGCUCUCCGAACUAAAUCUAUCACAGUUUUCUUGGAUUCAAACUCUUGUCUUAACUCCAGACCUGUCCCAUCUUCUCAUGCUUCUAUUGACUGACUUCCUUGAGAAGGACGUGGGAACUCCUCAAUUUCAACUAUCACACCCCUAUCUACCCCACCAUCAAAACUGUUAUCCAUCCCGUCAUCAGAACUAUUCCCUCUAUCGUCCUCACAAUUAUUUUCCANNNNNNNNNNNNNNNNNNNNNNNNNNNNNNNNNNNNNNNNNNNNNNNNNNNNNNNNNNNNNNNNNNNNNNNNNNNNNNNNNNNNNNNNNNNNNNNNNNNNACUUCCGAAGUACACAUCCUUUGGAUCAUAUACGUUCCUAAUCCCCGUCACAUGGUUUGUGGAGUAUAAUCUUGGCUAGAUCUCUCGUUAAUAAAGGGCUAAUCAAAAGAGUUGGGUCGGGUUGUUCAAUCUUUUUAAUGAAAAGAUCCUUGGUACCAUCCUCUCGCCCGAGAUUAGCCACUUGUACAGGUUUAACUAUUUCCUGAACCUCAUGGUUAAUCAUCUGAUUGACCCAGCGACAAUACGUGGAAUUUGGAUUUGAUAAAUGCAAUUAUUGACCCAGCUGAUGUGGAAUUAGUUCUUGCUAUACCCAUUAGUAGUUCAUAUCGAGCCGAUACACUUGGAUGGUAUUUUACAAAGUUUGGAAAAUAUACAGUAAAAUCAGGGUAUCAAAUGGAACAAUUUUUUGCAACUGUUUCUGAAAUAGUUUAUGGCCCAGAUAUCAAGCCAUUGUUAGCACAUACAUGGACAUUAAAAUGUUCACCGAAGUGAAGACAUUUUAUUUGACAAGUAAUUUCAGGAUGUCUAUCAGUAUUGGCCAGGUUAACAAACCCAUGGAAUUCAAUGCGAUACACAAUGUGCACGGUGUGGAGCAGAGGAAGAAACUAUUUAUCAUGUUGGUUUUGAAUGUCCUCCGCUUUAGAAACAUGGUCCCUAUCUCAAAUACCAACUCUUCCUGGAGUUUUUUCAUUAUCAUCGGUUUUUUCAAAUUUUGAUAUUUUUAGGAGACUCUCUAAGGAGACAGAAACUUUACAAUUUCAUUGGAUUGUGUGGUACAUUUGGAAGGUUAGGAACGAUAAGGUGUAUUGGAAUACGGACAUAGAUCCACUAACCACUUUGAAAAUUGCAGAAACUGAGGUGACAUUAUGGGCGGUAACACAAAGAUCUGAACAAGAAUUAACUCCACCUCAUAAUAUCAGUUUUUUGGGAUAUCUGACUCCAAUCACAUAUGGAGAUUGGUGGUGUUAUUGAUGGUUCUUCGAAAGAGUCAGAUUUAUCAUCGGGAUUAGGCUGAUACUAUUUUAAGGAAACUGAUAUGGACAAAAUAUGGGAGCACAAAAUGUAAGAAUGAGUCUAUCGCCUCUACAUGCUGAGAUCCUCGUAUGGGUUAUGCUUUGUAUGAUUGAGAAUCAGAAGACGUUAGUAGCUUUUGCUUCAGACUGUUCGGAGUUAGAGUAGAUAGUGUCUACACCUGACGAAUGGCCAGUAUUUGCUUUACACUUGGAAGAUUUUGUGAGGAUUAAGGACAUAUUCAACUUCUUUUCAAUAUCAUAUAUCCCACACAUGAAGAACAUGAAGGCAAACAAUCUGGCAAAAAGUGCUCGAGUCUAUCCUCAAGAUAUUAUGUAUGUAAGCUCGGCACCACAAGUUUUGGGGUAGUCAACCGUUCUAGGUGCUUAGGCUGUUGACAAAAAAAAAAGUUAGAGAAAACAAAAAAAGUAAAAGACAAUGAAAAAGAACUAAAAAUGGAAAGAAGAAGAAAAAUUAAAAUAUAAAGAAGAGGAUGCAUAUGCAGACGAAGUAAAAGAAGAAGCAUACAUACACUAGAUAAGUAAAAAAUACGAGACGAAACAAAUCAGAAAAAGAAGAUGAAGUAAAACCAAAAGAAGAAGUAAAAGCCUGAAACGAUGAAGAGGAAGAUGAAAAAAAAGGAGGAAGAAGAACAUAAAGUUGAUAAAAAGAAAUUUUCGAAAAUACGAAGAUAAAUACGUUGAAGAUGAGAAAAAAAAAACCGGAAGAAGAAAAUAACAAACUAGAAGAAUAUAAAGAUGGUGAAAGAAUAUAUUAAAAUCAAGAAAUAUAAGGAGAAGAAGACAAAUAUGAUGAUUUAGGCCAUGUUCGUUUUUGCAUCUAGACACUGUAUCUGGAUGCAAAUACUCAAAUAAUGUUCGUUUGGACACUUUAGAACCAAUGUUUAGAUGCUGCAUCUGAAUGUAAAAUCAACAUCUCAAAACUCUAAAUAUUUGAGAUGUCGUAAAAUGUAGAGUUUUGAUGCAAAUCUAACAUCUCAAAAACUAAAAGACCAAAAUACCCUUCAGUAUAAUAUAUUUAUAAUUAUCCAUAAAAAAUAUCAUUUUUGGCAAAAAGAAUUAUUUUUCACCAAAACAAAAAAUAUCGUUAAAAUCACAUAAUCACGGUUUUUAGCCAAAUCACGUUUUUUCGCCAAGACAAAAAAUUUUCAAUGUCUAGCCAUAAAACAUGCAAAAUCUUAUGUUCCCACUAAAUAUGCAAAAUUUUGAUAUUCCGCCAAAAACGUAAAAUAUUAUUUUCUCGCUAAAAACGCAAAAUCUCGGUUUUCUGCCAAAAACUCAAUAUUUUGGUAUUCCGGUAAAAACGCAAAAUUUUGGUUUCCCACCAAAAAUGAAAAAUCUCGUUUUCCCGCCAAAAAUGAAAAAUCUCAUUUUCCUGCUAAAAACGCAAAAUCUUGUUUUUUGGCCAAAAUCGCAAAAUAUUGGUUUUCCACCAAAAUCAGAAAAUCUCAUUUUCCCGCUAAAAACGCAAAAUCUCGGUUUUCCGCCAAAAACCCAAAAUUUUAGUUUCUCGCCAAAAUCGGAAAAUCUUGGUUUUCUGCCAAAACCGCAAAAUUUUGAUUUUCCGCCAAAACGCAAAGUCUCAUUUUCCCACAAAAAUACAAAAUUAUUUCACCGCCAAGACCGCAAAAUUUUGAUUUUCCGCCAAAACGCAAAAUCUCAUUUUCCCACAAAAAUAAAAAUUAUUUUGCAGGCAAAUCUGAGAAACGUUGUUUCCCUGCAAAAUUUUAUUUCCUGUCAAAAUUUUUAUUUUUCACCAAAAACGCAAAUUCCGAUUUCUCCCAAAACGCAAAAUAAAAUUUUUCUGACAAAUCUACGAAAUUAUUUUUUCCCGAAAAAAAUGAAAUAAUUUUAAGUUAAUUUAAUAUAAAACUAGUUUAAUUAUAAAUAAAAGAAAUUAUUCAAAAGUAUGUCAUUUUAGUUCUUUUUAGUCAUUUGAUAUAUUUUGCAUCCAACUAUUUUUUGUAGAUUCAUAAACUAACAAUUUUGUAAGUAGAUGCAGCAUCUUGAUACAAAGUAUAUAUACAAAACUAACAGUAUCUAGAUAUUGUAUUUAGUUAUAGCAUCUAAAUGCUAAAUCUAGAUGCAACAUCUAGAUAAAAAACUGAAUAAGGCCUUAGCUGUCAAUGAUUUGUAAUAAUAACUGUCUAAAUAAAAUUUUGCACAAUUAGUGAAUUGAUCUCAUUCUCGUAUAUACUACAAAAGGUCUGUGAGAAAAUUUCUCAGACGCUUCCUAAAGAUUGUGACUGUCUAUUGUGAUUGCAUCGCUUUUAUCUACUACAGCAAUGCUUUGUGGAACAGAUCAGUUGAGCUUUACCCUUUUUUCGUAAGUAAUUUUCGUUAUAGUACCUCCAUCAAAGGUAUCUCAACAUAGGUAUUUCAACAUUUAACUAAAAGACUUAUUCUUAUUUUAUUAUCAAAUGUUGAGAUACCAUUGUUGAGAUACUUGUGAUGAAGGUGCUCUUAUAUAAUACGAAAAAUGAAUACAGGGUGGGAUAAGAUUUUGAUAUCCAAAACUAACGUUAAACAUAAAUAAACAAACAAAAAAAGAGUGACGUAUCUAGAAAAAAUUUAGUUAAAGACAUAAUUUUAUAAACAAGAAAAAAUAUUUAGUUGGAGAUAACUUUUUCUUUUUUAUCAAUAUAUUAAAAAAAUUAUUAAAUUUACCAAAAAAAAAUAAAGAAUAGUAGGGGGCACUUGACCCCGUAACACCUUUACUACAUCUACCUCGCGAAAAAACAAAGUCAAUAUAAAAAGGGUUGUUUUGAAAAUAAGAACGUUUUUAAGUUUUAAUUUGAGGAAAUGGAAGUUUUAAGUUUUAAUUAGUCGGGGUAGGGACAUAUUUUCAAUAUGACAAUCUUACCCUUCAUUCUGAGAGAGAGAGAGAGACAGAGCAGUCUGUUCCUCAGAGAGAGACAGAGGCAGAAAAUACCGUGGGUCCCAGGCGUUCUCUACCUCCGGCGCGUAUCAGCCAGGAAGAGAGCACUCACGCGCGUGUUUGGGUCGUUUUUUGGGCCUGAUUUCGAAUUUAGGAAUGAAAUUCCCAAAAACCACCUAACUGGGCCUCGGUUAUGGGCCGGAAACUACCCAAGUAAUUACACGAAAAACUACCCUUCCCAUUCCCUUGUUAAUUUUGGCGGGAAAAAUUGUGGUUAAUUAGGGAUAAUAGAGUUCAUUUGGUUAAAAUAAGAAACAAAGUACCCUAACCAAAUUAGAAACCCUAGUUUCCCUUUCCAGAAGAUGUUGAAAUUAAAGGGGAAAUUAUGCGAUGAUCUAGAGGACAACAACCCCGGUUAGUUACUUAAUCCUAUUAUUGUACACCCAUAGAUUUGUCAUUGUUAUUUUCGAUUUUUUCGGUCUGGUGUUAGCCAUUUGCCAGUAGUUUUAUAGAUAUGGUGUUCGCGAAUUGCAGUGGAUGCGUUCAUUCUUGUUAUGGCGGAAACGUGGAUAAGGUACUAUACAAGAGAAUGGGAUUUCAAAAUGGACAUAUCUCGUCGUGGCAGGUGCAUAAAUUGCAAAGAUGUGUCCGGACCAGAUGAUUUGAGAAAUCUGAUUGCGCAUGAGUUCGGAUUAGACACGAGAGUUGUUUCGGUUGAGAUUUCCUACUGGUUUGAUGAUGUUCUAGCUGAGCUUAAUGGUGAUACGAGUUGUCCAUGUGUAAUAGUUACUCUUCGAGAGUACAAAUUCUUCCUUUCGCUGCAUAAGUCUGACAAGUCUGUGAAUUUAUUUGUCACAUUCAAGGAGUCAGUAAAUGGUAAAAUGGUGAGAUUGAAACGGAAGGAAAGUCUUGAAGUUCAAAUUGCGAGGGAACGGCGAAAGUCCUUAGGGCCAACAAACUUCAUAGCCUCUUCUUCGGCAGAGUCUAGUCAACCCGAUGAUGAAGCAGAUGAUGAAGAUAUCGAUGAUUGUUUGCUGAUAGCACAUGCCGAGAAAAUAUAGGCAGAGGCCGCAAUGAACACCUCCAAAGGUGUACAACUUGAAGCUGUCUCUGUUAUCCAUCCUCCAUUGGGAUUAAAAAUGUCCCAAGAAUCAGAGAAAGUAGAGGCUAAGGCCAGCACUAACACCUCUGUUAAUGUAAAACCGGAUGUUCCAAGUCACGCUGUCUCUGAUGACCACCCUGAGUUGGAAUUAAAAAUGUCCCAGGAAUCAGACGAGGCGAGAGAUUCGGAAGAGAAGGAAGCUGAUGAUGUUGACGAUGACGCACACGGCUCUGAUGAUGAUUAUGAUCCGGAUUAUGAUUUUGACUGGUGGAAUGAUUACGUACUAGCAGAUGGAAAGGGUUUCCAUUCUAAACCUGGAUUUGAUGAGGAUAAGGAUGACUCUGGUAGUUCAGGCGGUUGUGGAACUACUCGCGGAAGUGAGCCGAGUGAUUCAAACCAUAUGGACAACUCCAUUGUCUUAACGGAGAGUCCUAUUCAUUUUCCUGGAAGAAAGAGGACUGUAUGUGAGAAUGUUCUGGCUCCCCAUGGAGAUGAUCAUGAUUUUGUGCAGACUCCGACAGGUGAUGUCAGUUGGGGGCGUCUGAAUGGCGGUGCAGAGCUGAAGAAAGCGAUUAAACGUACAGAACUAUAUGGAAUUCCGGAUGUGGCACCAGUUUCUGAUGAAAUGGUAGGGGAUUUCGAUGAACUUGAUUUGUCAAAUGAAGAUGGAGAGAUAUGGGUUGGGAAAAAGUUCAGGAACAAGGAACACUUUAAAAUCACGUUGGCCAUCAAUGCGCUGAAGAAUAUAGUGACGUUCGAAUUCAAAAAGCAUGCGAAGAAGUACACAGUCGCCGAAUGUCCAUCAAAGAUAUGUGAUUGGAGAGUGUUGGGGUGUCAAGUUGGCGAGUCAGCGUUGUAUGAGGUGAGGAAGGCGUGUUUGAAGCAUACAUGCCACCCCGACACAAGAAAGAAAUUUUCAAAACAUGCUACUUCUAAAGUCAUGGCGGCUCUGCUGAAGUCUAAGUAUGAGAAUGCAAAUUUGGGCCACGUGCGAGUCAGCUACCUGCAAUUGUUCUCUCCGAAUAUAAUAUUACAGCCUCGUACUGGAAAUGCUGGAAAGCUAAGGAGCUGGCUAUAUACUCUGCUCACGGAACAGAGGAGACUUCUUUCAAAUUAUUACCGAUUUACCUCCAUGUGCUCAAGUAUGCUAACCCCGGCACCAUGACGCAUUUGAUAACCGAGAGCGAGAGAGAUGAAAAAGAAGGAAAAUGUAUUACCAGGUUUAAGUCCGUAUUUAUGGCAUUGGCUGCGUGUAUAUCUGGAUGGAAACAUUUGAAACAAGUAGUUGUUGUUGAUGGGACUCACCUCACUGGUAAGUAUAAGGGUUGUCUAUUAACGGCCAGUGGACAAGAUGCUAAUUACCAGGUAUAUCCAAUAGCGUUCGCCGUUGUUGAUGCAGAGUCUGACAAGACGUGGAGGUGGUUCUUUGAGAAGUUGUUAGAAAUAAUUCCAGAUUCCUCUGAUCUUACUAUUAUCUCGGAUAGGCACGGUGGAAUUGCCAAAGCUAAAAAGAAAUGGUAUCCACAGUCACACCACGGUGCAUGUCUUGUCCAUAUCCAGAGAAAUGUUCACGCUAAAUACAAAGGUUCCGGUCAGAAAAGGUUGGUGGGAAAGGCUGGAGAAGCGUUCACAGUUUCUAAUUUCAAGAAACUAUACGCAAGACUGAAGGAUGUUGAUUAUGGUUGUUGGGAGUACAUGGAAAAAAUCCCUCUUGCGCUGUGGACUAGAUCACACUUUUCUGGUCAGAGGUAUAAUCUGACCUCCAGUAACAUUGCAGAGUCUCUGAACAAUGCACUAUUAGCUCCCAGAGACAGUCCAAUCGUUGCAAUGCUAGAAUUUAUCAGGCGAAUGUUAAGUAGGUGGCUUGAAUGCAGAAGAGAGACCAUUCAAAAGAUGGAUGGUGACGUUACAGAAGAGGUUGACAAGUUAAUGAACCUGCAGCAGCAAAAAUCUGCUGCACUUUCGGUUCAAGGCAUUUCUUUGUGGGAGGUUGAAGUGAGUUCUGAGUUCGGUGUACGGAGGCUUGUUGAUCUCCUAAACAAAACAUGCUCAUGUCUAGAGUUUCAGACAUUGAAAUACCCUUGCCGACAUGCAAUGCCCGCGGCUAGGCUUCGCCAAGUGGAGUACAGCAGUUUGGUUGAUCCAAUUCUUAAGAAAUCAAUUUGGAGUGCAACAGUUAGUGGCAAAAUCCUACCAGUGCCCGACCCUGACGACAUUCGUAUCCCAGCAGAGGUGCGUGAACUUAAUAUUAUGCCACCUAAGGCAAAACGUCCAUCAGGAAGGCCUACGACGAAGAGGAAACUUUCAGCAGGAGAGUAUCCUCAGGUUAGUGUACACUAAACAUAUAUUUUUUUCCCCGGUGAUACUGAUUACUGAUUAAUGAUUAUUGAUAUACGCCGUUGCAGGUUGCAAAAAAAAAGAAGCCAAACAAAUGCUCUAGAUGUGGAAAUGCCGGCCAUAACCGGGCAAAAUGCAAGGAACCAUUGGGUUGACCGGGUGUGGCUAUUGUGUGUCUCUUGAUGUUUUUUUUGUGGGGAUAUUGCUUUGUUUUUUGGGUUUGUUUGUAGCGUACACUAUGUUUCCCUAUAUUUAAACUUGGAAAGGCAUGAACUAUGUUUAAUUUGUUAUGAAAUUUAUGAUGUUUACUGGUCAGGGUUUAGGGUUUAGACGGUGGACAUGUUGCUAUGUUUUUUCGGGUUUGUUUCUAGCGUGUACACCCUUGACGGUGGACACUGUUUGUGUACACUGUGAUGGUGGACAACAUCAAUCAGUUUACAUCAUAUAGUGUAUUUGCAUUUAUGGCUUAUGUAUAAGUUUACAUUUAUAUGGUUUAGCAUAUAAAAUUAAGUUAUGGACGUUAAGGGUUAUGGGUUAGGGUUUAGGCUUUAGGGUUUAGGGCUUAGGGUUUACGAUGAAGGCUUUAGGCUUUAUCUUAUUAAGGAAUCAAAAUAAUUAGAACAGGCAUGGAUCUGGAUCAAAAUAAUUAUCAAAGACAUGGUUCUAUAGCAGAGAAAGAAAACUUUUAUGAAAGACAUGGAUCUGGAUCAAAAUAAUUAUCAAAGACAUGGUUCUAUAGCAGAGAAAGAAACUUUAUGAAAGACAUGGUUUUGGAUCAAAAUAAUUAUCAAAGACAUGGUUCUAUAGCAGAGAAAGAAAACAGUAUAUAGAAAACGGACAAUGAUCGUGUCUUUGAAUUGAAAUUGUAGGACAGGACAACACGAGUAAACGUUUUUUUCAAAAAGCAAGUCAUUACAAUUUUGAAAAUCGCAAUAAUGAAACCAGUGUCUGAGUUCAAAAAAAUCAAAUUGGAAACGACAAAAACUAGUUAAGUACCUUUUUUGAAACCUGUUGCACCGUUUGACCGACUCGUUUCCCUUCUUUACUUUAUAAUGUUUUUCCGGUCGUCCUCUAUAAAAACUGUCCCCUGCCUUCUUCAGUGAAACAAGUUUCCGGAGACAGAAAAAGUUAAUAACAGCAAAAGUUACUUACUUUCUAAACAUGUACUCUGCGAAAGUGGUCUCAUUGCAAUUGAAGGAAGUGGAGAGGAAAAACAGUCCAUGUUUCAGUACAGGUAUUUGAUGGUUAAUUUGUAAAUAGGGCAUUAGUUAAGUUUUAGUUUUACAGGGUCGGUCUUUUACAUCGUCUACCUAAUUAGUGGUUUGCCGAUUUCAUUAGGACAUGUGGGUGAGGACUUGUAUCAUUGGGAAGCUAUCAUAACGGGGCCUAAAGGUUCACCCUAUGAGAAUGGUGUUUUCAAAGUAGACAUUCACUUUCCGCUUGACUACCCUUUUGCGCCACCUAGGGUAAGGAAUGAAGCAUAUGAUUGCUCUCUAAAAUUGCUGUAUUUUUAGGGUUUAGGAUUUAGUCAAUAAAGAUUUCAAUUACUAAUAACACUUAUAUUUUUCAGGUGAUGUUCAAAACAAAAGUGUAUCACCCAAACGUUAAUACUUAUGGGAACAUUUUUCUGAAGAUGUUGAACCCAACUCACUUCAGGACCAACAACAGCAUCAAUGAUGUAUUUUUACACAUGAAAGAAAUAAAUCGUUAUUGUCUUUUAGGGAAUAUAAUAUAGUAAUUCCGUUUAAAUAAGGGCUUACCUGUGUUUACAUGUAUAUGUAAUCAGGUACUGACAGAAAUACACCAAAUGUUUACUGCCCCCCGAAUAGGCGAAGGACACUUUUUUGUUGAAGAAAUUGCUAGGAUUUACGUGGAAGACAGGGCUGCUUUUGAAACCACUGCACUUGCGUGGACGGUGGAGCACGCCGGAGGAGCAUAAACUCCUUAAUUGUACUUUUAAUUAUGUUUGUUGAAUUGUGUAUUUUGUUUAGGAAAAAAAUAAGACCUCUAUUUUGUUAGCGUGUAGUUGGUUGGGAAGUUUAUGACUUCAUAUUAACUUUUUAAUAUCAUUUUGUGGUUUUUAUGUUUUGGAUUUGAUAAAAUGUCGAAGCAUAAAUUGUCCAACGAUUUCAUGAAACAUAAAUCAUGAAAUAUUAAUUCAAAGAUUGUUCAUUACAUACUAAAAAGGAAAUAUAUGUGUACACUUCAUAUAGUGUACACAUACUCGUGUACACUUGCAAUGGUGUACAGCAUAAACUUAUUUUUAAAGCAUUUCGCAGAUACGCCUAGCACACCAAUAUAUGAAGCAACCAUUGCAAAGUACUCGGAUCUCAGGUUCAAAAUGAUCAAAUGCACAAUCAGGCAGCUUGAUGACGUCGUCGUUUGGAUAUGGAAAUGAGUUUGAGUACGUAUCCAUGUAUGCAGUUCCGUAAUAUGAAAUCUCAAGAAUUAACUCCUCACCUAAUUGUCGCACGCUCUCUGACUGUAGACUUCCGUGAUGCGUUGCCAACAGCUGCAAUGUUUGGCUUGCGGAACAAGGGUCACCCAAGCAAACGCUGAACAUGGCGGACGCCAGGGUCGAGAGAGCGUCGGUGGGAACAUUUGGUUCCAGCAUGGUCCUACUUGCAAUGAGAUAUGCGCCUCUUGUUGCAAGUCUCAGGCCUUCCCAGUAUCUUGCCUCAGGGUUUCCACUCGCCAAACAUCUCAGAAAGAAUGGGCGUCUUUCAUUUCCAGGGCAUAUGUCGUUGGGGACACAGCAAAGGGCAUAAAUGUUGGAAGCUUUGAGGACAUCGUCGGUGAAAACAAGCCGGAGGGUGCGCUUUCCAGCGCGCACAAAUGGUCCGAGUCGCCAAAAUGCUUCACUGCCGAGCCUCUUCAGGAUUUCGACAAGAAUUUCAUCAGGCAAGUCUGGGAGCGACAUGUUCGGUUUAGGGUUUGUUAUGUUUGGUUUAGGGUUUUUUUUGCUGGAAAGGAUGCAAGUUUUGGUAAGACAAAGCGAAAUCAUCAUAUAUGGACUUCACUGGUGUGUGGUUGGGGGGUGGAGAAUUUAUUAUACGGUUGAAAAUAAUAUAAUAGUGUACUUCCUUUUAGUAAAUAUUUCACCUACCCGUUUUGUACCCCCAAUUUUUUGGAAUAAUGUUCAGUUCUCUUUUAUUAAAGUGCCUGAAACUACUAGUUACAUUUAUAAUGUAAUGCGACGUGUUGGGGUCAGUUUAGCAGUUAUUGAAGUGGCUCUUAUCUGUAUACCAACCACGAAUUAGGACAUUUAUAUAUCUAUCCACCUUGUCUACAAAUAAAGCGAAUCAAAUUUAUUUCUCACCAAAGUGAAACAACAAUGCACUACUUAGACGAUGAUGUUUUAGGGUUAAUAGUAAAGAAAGUAGCUGAGGAUGAUUCCUAUCAUCUUGCCCCCUUUAUUCGCGCAGGAAAACGUGGAAGAGCCAUCGCGUUCACCGACGACGUGUUACGCUCUGCAGACAUCUCUCGAUUGGUUGACUCACCGCUCGACGUAUCCCCUAGGAGCCGUCACCGCCCAUUCUUUGAGCGUUGUCUUGGCGCCUGUAAUCCACGAGCUAUUUAUUUCGAAGCCAUUAGAGUUGCCGUGAGUGAGCAAAGAUUGUAUUCAGCGAUUACAAUGCUUAACCGACUUCUCCCAUGUGAUAAACAUGCUACUUUCGCAUGUGCCAUGUUUGAAAUUUGCGUCGGUCGUCCAUGAAGGGCUAAAAAUCUCCUCACCUAUGUAUUCACUCACCACGUCCCUUAUGCGGCUUAUGAAAUGAAGCUGUUAGCGCACGCCGUUAUACGUCACGUAUGGGAGUUCGCACUGGGGCCGUUUCAAGAUCCGUGGGGUAGCCUUUGGUCCUUCCCCAUCACCCUACAAGAAGAACCUAUAUCGGAGUGUGUAGAUGACCAUUACGAUGGCUCAAAUACACCAGACUGCGAGUAUUGCCUUCUACAAUGCACGGCUCUGCGCAUAAGAUAUUUACUUUAGUUUAAUUAUUUAAAUUGCAAGUGCUUGUUUUAUUUUGUAAUAAAUUCAAGGUGGAAACUAAGUGAAAAUCACUUGGCGAUUGAUGUUGUAACAAGUAGCUACUAACAACUUAACUAGUUGUAACAAUGUAACUACUUCUUUAAUUUCUGUAGUUGGUAAACAUCACUUCACAAACUUAUUGUAAUAUUACUUCUGUUCAACUACACACUAAUUGUCUUACCAUUAACUAUUUCUCAACAACAACUACCCAUGGAAUUCAAUAUAUAGUUUCAUAAAAUUGCGCAGAAAGUUCACCCUACACAAACCUUACACAAACCCUAUAUCCUUCCCAAAAAAUGCCAAAUUUACCAGAUUUACCAGAUCAUAUUUUCGAAAUCAUUGUGAAGAAAGUUGCUGAGUCUGACUGCAUCGACCUUGGACCGAUUAUUCUGGCCGGGACCCGUGGUAGAGACAUUGCGUAUAGCGCGGAAGUACUCAGAUCGGCAUACCUAUGGACAUUGCAUGACACACCAUCUCGGAUAUACCCUGGUGGAGUAUAUCGGCCUUUAUUCCUGCGCUGCUUAGCGUCGAGAAAUCCACGGGCCAUAUUGGUCGAAGCUAUAAGGUUCGUGUCAACAGAGGAGAAGAUCUACACCGCCAUCAGGAUGCUAAAUAUAUAAGCUCGUGCCAUCAGUAGUCUAUGCGACUUACAGCUGUGCGAUUUUGCAAAUGUGCGUGGGUCGCCCUAACAGAGGGAAAAAACUUCUGAAGAUGGUUUUUAUGUACCACUAUCCUCAUGAUUCUCGUGAAAUUCUUGAAGUCGCCGCAGAGAUAGUAGAUUUAUUCUGGUCAUUUUGCCCACGUAAUAAACAUACAUACAAGGAAAAGUUCAGGUACCCUAGUCUCAUUCAUGAAGACAACUCUGCGUCGUGCGAAGUGUAUCACGAGAAUGUGCAUUAUAUUGUUACAUGUGAAAAUUGUUAUCUUAGAUGUUCGGCAGAACGCAUAGCAAAAAUGCUUUAGUAUCGAUGUGCUAUGCUCGCUUGUCGCUUGUUUGUAAAAUAAAUAUGAAAUUUUUAUAACAGCCUUAUGUUUAACAGCCUUAUGUCAAAAAAAGGGUUUACAAUCACGUAUACCAAUGUUGGUGUACGUUUACGAACCCGUAUACCAAUUAUAGUGUACGUUUACGUUCAAGUAUUCAUCGUUCUUUAAAAAUGUGUAAUGUUAUUAUAUUUUCAACCUGUUUUACGUUUCCAAUCUAUAUCUGACCCCGUUUACGUAAGUAAGUGUACGUCUUUAGGUUUACGGUUUUAGGUAUACGUAAGUAGGUGUACGUCUAUAGGUAUACGGUAAUAGGUGUACAUAAAUAAUUACAGUGAAGAGGUGUACAAAAUUAAUUACUGCCCUAGACGAAAUGAUAUCCUAGCUUGAUGAUUAAUUACGUAAGUAGGUGUACGUAAGUAGGUGUACGUCUAUAGGUAUACGGUAAUAAGUGUACAUAAAUAAUUACAGUGAAGAGGUGUACAUAAUUAAUUACUGCCCUAGACGAAAUGAUAUUCUGGCACUUUCAUGUUGAUACAAAACAUUUUAAGAGCUUGAUGAUUAAUUACUACAUUUACGAACAUAAGUACCAUAAAUAUCAUAAAAUCAACUACUAAUUCUCCGUAGAUUAUAUUUAUACAAAAGUAAGAGUUGCAACUAAAAACCGAAAGCAGACAAGCAAUUUGAAAAAUAUCAGUUGUAGUUUGGAACACUUAGACAACAUAAAUAAUUAAAGAGACACGAAUGCAAGCAAAUACUAAGAUUACGGCUUUCACCAAUCGAGCAUGAACGGCCAGCCUGGAACGACGUUCCUAAUGAAGCGGAAGAACCUUUGGGUCUCUUGGGCCCAGAAACAGGUUGUGCACUUUGGCUGCUUAAAGUCUUCUGCAAACCACUGGAGCCAGUAAUUGAUAACCCCGCAGUGACAGGUGUACAGCGCAAGGAAUCUCGGAUGAAAGGCAGCCACUUUCUCAGUGAAAUCCACUGGCAAAUCGAAAUUCCAUCCGUGUGGAACAUCGGCCAGCAACAACCGGCUCAUCCUCCUCUGGUUUUGCACCGUGAGCCUGCCCAAAUACUCCUCUGCACGGACGAAGUCUUCCGGCACAGCUCUGAGCCACAUCCCGUACACAAAAAGGGCUCGGUCGUAGCCUCCCUCCGCAGCAGCCCUUAUCAAUUCCACGCCUUCACAAUCGUGGAAGAAAAAGUAGGCUUGCAUCCCCCUCUCGAAAAUAACCCCUGGAUUACCCGCGUCAUGGAAUCUCCUCAUCAUCGUUGGGUAAUGUGGAACCGCCGCUUGUUCAUGCACGAUUUUGGCGGGAUCAAUGGCUCGAUAGAAACCCCUGCUUGUGCCGAUACGGUUGAAACGAGAACAAACAGCACGGAGGCGGGCUAUUUCCCUUAUAGUUGGGUUUGUAGCGGCCAGAAUUUGUUCCAGCAAUUCAACAGGGAGUGAGAGAAGAUAGGAAAAGUCAGCAUCACCACCUCUGUUUCUCCUUGGAACCAUCGUUUAUUUCGGUGAAAAGAGAAAAGAUAAGAAAAUGGAAUGAGGAAGAUGAGAAAGAAUUGAAAAUGGUACAAAAGAGGAAGUUAUGAUGGUUCUAAGUAGGCAGUUACGGUGAAGGGAUUGAAUUUAAAGAGGUAGUGCAGUUUUAAUAGAGCCGAAUAGCUGUCUUUGAAGAGAGACGUUGAAAAGAGACGAAAAUGUGUCUUUUCGUUUACCGGCAAAAUUAAAUUACCACAAUAAAUACAAAGAAUUACCAAAUAAGACAGCCCUUUUAUAAUUGUUGGAAAAUAAAUUUCUUGUCAUCAUUACAGACGUUUUCUCAACAUCACGUUAACCGAGAUAGAGUAGAGAUUGAGUCCACAUAGACGAAAUCAUGAUUUUUUUUAAAAAAUAUGCGUACAGAAAUAGGUAAGGUAAGACUUUUAAUAAAUAAUGUCGUGUGUAUAUCCAUGUUCUCCAAAAAUUCUCUGAAACAGAUAAUGUCGUUUGUUUACUCAAAUAUAUAAUAUGUGAUAACUGUAACAUUCAGGUGUACAAAUUUAGGUGUACAUAUUGAGUCCAGAUUGAGGUGUUUUUUUUUGUGUAGUUAUUAGGCGUACACAGAGAGGUAAGCUGAGACUUUAAAGAUAUAAGAGAACGGUAAGAGAACGGUUCUCGAAAAACUUGCACUACCACCCACCGAAAUUAAAUAAAGUCAGCACAAUUAAAGUAUCCAUAGAUUGAAAGCAAAACAAAGUACACCUACAUACAUACAUACGUAGUAGGCCUAAAUAAAAUUUUAAAUCUUAAAGUACGAAGUAACAGCAACGCCGAGGUGUACUUAACUUAGGUGUACACACCAAGGUGUACACCCCGCAGGUGUACACACCGAAACUGGUUGACUUGCACCAAUCAGUCACCAUUCUUCCAUUGACGGCCCAGAACGCGCUGCAUACCAAACAAAUACGAAGAACUUUUGCGUUUCCUGUGCCCAGAAACACGACGUGCACAUGCUUGGCCCCUUUAACAAUUCGUCAUGCCAAUCAAGUUGAGCAUUGGCAACACCACAGCGACAAGACCAAAGUGUGGCAAACUGAGCAUUAGUCUCAAAUCUCCUCCUCGAGAACUCUUCUGGCAAAAUAACAUAACCACGCUCACCUCCAUCAAUAAUUUUCUGAAUUAUUCUCCUCAUUGCCCCCCUGCCUAGUUUUGAAAGGUACUCUAAACCCACGGGGUCUUCAACCACUGCUUUCAUGUACAUGCCAUACAUGUAAAUACAUGUUUCGUAUCCCAUAUCUGCAGAUUCCUUGAUGAGUUUUAUGCCACAUUUGUCUCCUCGGCAGAAGUAGGAUUGCGUGCGUCAUACAUCGUCCUCAACAAGUUGGGAAAUUCCCAAUUCGCGAUAAAAGGCAUAUCGAAAUCUUCGGGAAUAGGCAUCUCCAAUUCCACGGGAUCAACCGAUGCUAGAAAAUUUUUGGUUAAAGUGCAGGCCUGGAACCGUUUGCAAACUUGCUUCAGUGUGAAAAUUUGUUGGACGGAGUUGCAACUGUAUGCGAGAACCUUCUCCAAUAGUUCGUCGGGAAGCGCCAUCAGAGGGGAUUGACGAUAAUCACGGAUAUCCGCAUCACAUCGCCCUCUCUUUGGUGCCAUAUUUAAUUUGUGAGGUUCAAUUGUGAUAAAAAUGGUUGUUUAUGGAGAUGGAAUAACUGCGGUUUAGGAUUUGUGAAGCGGAACGGUUCUUAAUGUUACAUAUAUAUAAUAAUUAAAAAAGCCCACUAAAUGACCGUAUACAUUAAAUGCGGUUACCGUUAAGAUUGUAAAUGAGUUUGUAAAAUUAGUGGAUAAACCAUAAAUUUCCUUGUUGUACACCCAAUUGAUGUACACGUAAAUGGAUAUUGGUGUACAGGUACAUAUUUAGCCGGGAACAAGGUAUUCACACAACAAUUAAUAAAUACUAAAAUAAUGUGAAGUAUAAACAAAUUUGUCUUUAUGUACUCCCAUUUGAUGCAUAUUGGUGUACAACUAAACGCUAUUAGGUGUACGGAUACGCAAUUAUUAAAGUAAACUAAAUUAUAAGCAAAUUAUAUAAUCGACACACCAAUUAAUAGAUAGUAAAGUAAACAAUAUUAUAAGCAUAUAAAUUAUCAAAUAAACCCACAUCCUAAACAUUAUCAAACACAUAAUCCAACAAAUAACCCUUGCAUAAAUUGUCAAGUUCAACAUUAAACUUCAACAUUCGUCCUAAGUGUUGGCAAUAGCCGGAUUCCUGACAAACUCUUCGUAUGAGUCCAUGGCGUAUUUCUCCCUUAACCUGUCAACGUCAUCGUCCGUUAUCAAACCCAUAUCCUCCACUCCAAGGCCUGCAGCAUGCAUCUCUAAGAAUUUGGCCGCACAUGGACCACAGUCACCGGAUCUUUUGUUCUGAUAUAUGCCCUCCAAACGACUCCAUGUGUAAGGGGUGGUGCAUAGGCCUUCCGUUAAUUUGCUAUCCAAAUAACGCUUCAAUAUAAAUGGCAUACUUUGACACACGGGCGCCAUAUACUGCUCCACAGCGGCUUCAUCAUUAUGACUGAUGAAUGAGUCCAAAAUCUUUAUGUUGCCCGUUUUAAAGUCAAUUACAAGGCCCACCCAAUGCUCAGACCCCCAGUUCAUGGGGACGUAUACAACGUCCACAAACCGUACAAACAUUUGCCUCUACCGCUGAUUAGCCCACUUUGCUGGUUUUCCCAAUACAAUGCCCUGAAUGGUUUUCCCCCAGUCAUACUGAUUUUUGUCUCGCGAUAUGAAAUCGUUGUAGUAGUUGCCGAUGAUGGAUAUGAACAAGGUGUCUACAAAUGCUACCCUGUCUUUCAAGUAUAUUUCACCUCUACGUCUCCAAAGCAUGGCCAUUAUGACUUGCAUGUGCUGACGAAAAAUAAAACAUAAAUAACAUAUAAUACAGAUAAUUAAAGAUUGAGUAAGUACUAACUAUAUACUUACCAUCGUGUUAACCCACUCAAUAGGCUUCGCAAUUUGUAGGAAGAAUUGAUUGUUCACAGUAUGACCAUUGACAAUGCAAAAUUCGCUGUAAUGAGAGCAAUUGGUAAUUGAUUAGAAUGAAAGUUUAAGGAUAAAUUGCUUUCAAUACGAUAUAACUUACAUGUUUCUUUCACGCGAUAAUAACUCCUGAAAUGCCUUGAAGUGGUCUUGGUCAACUGUUUCGAGUGGUUUGUACGCAGCUUUCGAUCUGGAUACAAAUAGAGCUUUCACCUUUGAAUCAGCGGUGUAAAUAUCUCGAAUCUUGUCCGAUCGUACACGUGCGCGUUUUGCUCUACUUCUUCCUCCUCUUCCUGUUCCUCUACCUCUUCGUCCUCUUCCUGUUCCUCCACUUGUUCUCCUUACACCAGACGAUCCCUCAACUUCUUGUGGGGGUUUUGGAGUACAAGGGGUCUUCUGCGAAGCAUCACUUGCAUCCUCAGGCGCAGUAUGGUAAUCUUUCCCCGCAUUUGAGUCGUCCUCAUUAGCCACACCCUACAAACCACCGUAACAAUAAAGCGUAUAACAUAUCAAUCGUAUACCUAGCGUAUACCUAAACACUACUGUAUACACAUGCAUAUCAUAUGAACAACUUUAAUGUCUGACCUGUGCAUCCUGCGCAUCUGUCUGCGCUUCAUGUUUCUUAUAUGCGUAGCUCAAUGGGUGAGGAGUCUGAGGUUUGUAGACUACUAAGGGGCCUGACACCAAAUUUGUUCUACCACCAUCCACCUGAAUAAGUCAUAAAAAACAUAGCACAUUACACCCACGUUAUGAAACUUAAUAGAGUCAGCUGCUGACUAAACAAUUAGCUCACCUCGUUGAGGCCAGAAGGUGGAAUUUCAUCCGGAGUGACGAAGUAAGGAGGUGGACGAGUUGUUCCUGAAUUGGCUUGUCCCGGUUCAGGGGUCAUCGUCGGAGCUUCUGGAGUCUUCAAGUACGCAUGGUCCCUGGGAGAAUAAUGGUCCCCGCCGUAGUAACUAGAGGUCCCUUCUUCAUCAUCUCUUUCUUUCUGGUGUACACCAUCUUCGGGGUGUACACCAUCAUUAUGGCGUACGCUAGACUGUGCCCCUCCAUCUUCGGCUUCGUCUUCAUCUUCAUCCGCUUUUUCACCAUCUUUUUUUGUAUUCUGUCCUUCGUCAUCCUGUUCCCCAUCUUCUUUUGACUGGUGUACAUCGUCAUCUUCUUCGUCCUCUUGGUAUACGCCCAAUCUCUUGUCCAACUCGGUCUUAAUCUCAGGAAGGAGCAAAGUAUUCUGAAGUACUAUCCAUCUUUUAAGAUCUUUAAUCUGUCAACUUUCAGGUGUUUCAUCUUCCGAUAGAUUAGAAAAGUUCUUGCCCCUGCCUCUCUUCCUCUGCAUAUUACGUUUUUCAGUUUGAUGGGUUUUCUGUUUCUUUUUCGGUCGGGUGGAUGGCUCAGGUUCCUGUUCAUUGGUAACCUCGUCCUCUGCAUCACUAAUAUCCACGAUAGGUGCCGGUGCCACUGCAAAAUCCGAAGGUGUGAAUUUGUACCCCUCGGCCAUGAGUUCCUGCAUGAAUGCAACUUCGGCAUCCUCUACCUCAUCUCCCCAACGCAAUUCAUUUUGUUGGUCAUUCUCACCAUCAUCCACUACCAUCUGUUUCACAGAAAACUAAGACAAAAAAUAUACAAUUGCAAAUUUACCAACCAAAAUGACAGAGCACUUAUCUUUUAAGAGAAGUACUACAAAAUAAGACUACAAAUAGUACUAAAUAUAAUACUACAAAUAAUUUACCAGAGGGUCGGAUUCGACGGCAUGUAUGUCCCCAAGAUGCAACAGUGUGAUAACGUUUUGACAGCCUUCGGGAUCUUCAAGGAAUGUCUUCAAGUUAUCAGGUUGAGGAAUUUUGGAAACCAACAUUGGUAUAGAUUGGAGGGCCAUGAGUUGUAGUGAUAGAGGGAAUCCAUAGCAUGCACUGGUUUUCUGUUUAAGUUGACGGCGCAAUCGUGUUACAGGAUUCUCCCUUUUCUCGGCAUCCGUGAUUGCCUUCGGAGCUUGAAAACAAGAUACUGUUUUGUUAAAGGAUACCCUCCCCCAUGGAUACAGCAUGAACCUAUCCAAGUCACUCAACAUCUCAACGUAUUUCUCGGUGAGGGCCAGAUUUUUGCUAUUGCAAAACAGAACACCGUCGACAAGAACGAUUAGGGCCAAUGGAAGCCGUUUCCAUCGGGGUAGAUCCGGGUCCUUUAGCAUUUCAAGCACAUCAUACACGUUCAUAGCCUUCACUCUUCCGAACAGGUCUUUCCAGAUUCCUGUUUUCCCGACUUCUUCUUCUUCUUCUGUGCUAUCAGGUUCGGGAUUGCAAUUCAAUCCAGUGAUUUCCUUGAACUCCCGUAUCGAAUAUCUCAGAGGCUGUCCACCAAAGAGGAACCAAAUCUCGUGUUUCUUCGUGGUCACAAGUUGUCAUGAUAGAAGGGCAUGGACAAGUUUGGCGCUGUUGCAACAUCUUGCAACAGGUAGAUGGAAUAACUUCCCAAACUGGGAAUGAAGUAGCUUCUCAAGAUCUUCAGUACCCUUUAACGCCUCGACAAGGAGGCCAAUUACAUUGGCCUUUGAAUAUAUGUUCAACCGAGCACCAACGGGGUAGCAACCAUCGCCGAGGACUCUUUUUGGUAGUUUUCCGAAAGGUUAUUUGAAGCUUCUCCAUCUUCCAUGCCUGUAUUUGAAGGUUCUCCGUCUUCCAUUCCUGUAUUUGAACGAAAACAACAAUUUCGAAAUGCACGAAAAGAUAUAGUAUUCUGGAUAAACACUGAAAUGCAAACCUAGGGGAAAUGUUUGAGGGAAAGGAGUUCGAAGGAGUUCGAAAGAGAGAACAUAUAUCUGGGAAAACUACCCUAUUUGUAUGCUCUCCUAUAAAAACUUCUGUAACUGUUUCUAGAUGAUAUAAGAGUAAUCCAACCGUUUGAAAUCAAUAUGUAGACAUAAGUACUACAGUUCAUAACCGCUAAUACAUAAAUGAAGCCAAUCAGCGCCCCGUUUCAAUCUUAAUUUUAAUUACAAACCGCCAGUACAGUUCAGACAAGGUCGAAGUUCAUAAAUGUAACUUACUUUUAGAAUUCUGAGCAGGCCAUUCUAGAAGAAGAGGAGCGAAUUGUACUUUGGCUCUACACCGCCGGCAUGGAUUCAGACGACUCGAGUGAAUGGGAUGUUCAACCCGGUCACUCCGCCGCGGUGGCACGGGCGGCAUGGGCGAGUGGUCCGUCGGAGCUGUCUUCGAGUUACUCCGGAGCACGCGCCUCGACACCGGAGGCACGGUGUUGUUGCGCCUUAACGAUUUUUUUACUUUCCGUGCCAUUACAACGGUAAAUCGGAUGGCUAAUCGAAGAUGGAUUGCCGGAGAUGCUAGAUAGAUGACGUCCAGAUGUGGAUCCCAAAUUAAAUUUUUAUUUUAAAUGUUGGGGUGUCGAUAAAUUAUACAUUUGGUUUUACUUCGGUUUAUGAUAUUGGACUUCGGUUGAUAAUUUUGUGUAAUCGGUUUACGAAAUCGGGUUUAAUCUGAAAUUUUUAGUUAUUUUACUUCGAUAAUGGCAAUUCCGAAAAUAAAAUUUGCCUAAGGGCCCUUGUGAGAAGACAAACAGUAAAAACAACCCUUUCCUUCUAUAGUUUUCAAAACAUCAUAUUCCUCAAAUUUAAAACUUAAAAACAUCCCAUUCAGCAAUUUUCUCAUAUAAAAAGAGAUUUCCUCGGAAACUAAGUCGACGGAAAAGAGAAUUCUUUGCAAACUAAACCUAAAUAAACAUAGCCUACAACGAAAACUUUCAACCAAGACCAGAACCUAGAAAGCAAAAAGAUCACUUGAGCUUUUACUUCUUUUUUUUUUUUUGAACAGCACUGAGGUUUUACUUCAAGUAGUAUUUUUUCAAGCAAAAAUAGAAAAGGAAACAAAUGUCAACUCUUCAAAAAGAGUUGUACUUGUGAUAUGUGAGUAUUGUUCAACGAAUAAAAUAUCUAAAAAGCGACUAAGUUUGAACCAUUAAAUAAAAUAUUUAUUUUAUCCUAGCUUCUCUUCCAAAACCGUAAUUUUCAUUUCCUAAAGACACUCACUUAUCGUCCUAAUCCUCCUCGCAGCCACAAUCUUCAUCUUAAGGUCUGAGCAAAGUGCAAAAGAUAGGAUCAGGUUCUUCUUACAAGGUAAAAUAUAAUCACUUUCUCUGAUUCUGAUUCUCUUAUUCUUCCCAUUUGUGGUCGAUUGAGUCCUCUCUCCACUUUAGUAAUCUUCACAAUCUGUCGGAAACGGUGAGGGUGAAGAGAUUUCUUAUUUCUUGUUGCUUUGUUUCAUUUUAGAGAUUUUUUGUGUAAUCGAAUUUUAUCACUGUAAUGAAAAAGUUACGCCCUUUAGUUGUUUGAUUAAAUGCUCCAAUGAAAGAUUAUUUGUCAUAAAAACCCAAACUUUUCUCCAUUUUUAUUGUAAAACAUCGUGAAUCUCUUUCGGGGUUUGGUGAAAAUGAAGAGAUAUGAUGAUUGACAUAUUGCUCUUAAUGCACAGAUUCCGAGCUUUUAUAAUGGCGCUGUUUCCUCUUCACCACGAAUUCCCCUGUAAAGAUCAUAUUUUUCAUAGUGGAACUUCGACUAGACAAAGCAAAGGAGAGCUGUUGUUUGAUUCGAAUGGUUCAAGGCGUUUUUCUUCCGGCAGGACCUUCUUCUUCCCAAGUCCGGCUUUUGACGUGUUAAUGAAGGCAGAGGUUAUUAGCAGUAAACAUAGAACAAUGGCUGAAGCUACUUCUCUGGGGAGGGAUUGUAGGGUGAAGAGUCAUAUAAGAUCGAUCCCGUAUUGUCUUUCAUCAAGAAGGAAUCUAUGCUUGGUUAGAGCGUCAUCAGAGAACAAGAUGAUAAAAAAGAGACUUAAGAUGUUAGAUACUUACUUUGGGAAACUUCAAAGCGACGAUGAGAAGCCUUCUGUCUCCACGGGAGAUGAAAUCGAUCGUAAAGCUGAACUCAAUGCAGAGGAAGAGUUGGAAUCUUUGAGCGUUUAUCUUGAUAAACUCCAAAAGGGUAUGACAAUAAUAAUACGAUCUUCUUGAAUUUGGUGACUUUCCUCUUGUUACUACUCACUGACUUCGUUCUUUUAUUCUCAGAUGCGAAGUUUAAAGAAGGCGGUUCAGUAGCAAGCAAAAUGAGAAAGACUGAUAUCAAAAGUAAUAAUAGUCCUUUUCAGCAGCUCGAGGAUGAUAAUGAUCAAUCAGAAGAUACAUUGAACUUCUAUGCUGUGUAAAAACUCGUAACCACCCUCUUGUUCGUCUUUUGUUGCAACUUGCAACACAUGUUCUUACUGACAAUGUGUCUCCAUUGAAAAUGCAGGAGCAUAUUAGCAUCCAUAAAUGUCGGAGUGUGUCUAUUUGAAGCUGCAAGUCCCAUUAGGAACAACGAUAUGGGACUGUUAUCACUGCCGCUUUUGUAUGGAGCAAAGAUAAACGAUCUAAUCGUGGCUGGACAAUGGUGGAGGCUGGUCACACCCAUGUUUCUGGUACAAGACCAACAAAUUGGGUCUGUUCUCCCUUUCUUUACUGUUUCAAAACUGUGACCAAAACAGCCGGAGAUUUUAAAAUACUGGACAAAAAUUAUCUUCAAAAGCAGAAGUAUAUAUUGCUUUAGUUUUCUCAUUGCAUAUUUUUGUGUUCCACAUUCAGCACUCUUGAUGACUUGGUUUCAUGUAAGUUUUCUCUUUUUGUCACUGAAACGCUUUCUUUUUCACAUAUGCAGCAUUCUGGAAUCCCUCAUGUAGCACUUAGCUCGUGGGCUCUGCUGACUUUUGGACCAAAAGUUUGCCGUGACUAUGGGAUAUUCACAUUUUGUCUCAUUUACAUACUCGGAGGAGUGUCUGGUAACUUCAUGAGCUUUCUUCAUACACCAGAUCCUACAGUUGGAGGAACUGUAAGCUAACCAAACUUUCCAAUAUGUGAUAUCACCAAAUUGCACCGUUCUUAACUUUCAGACUUAACGUAAACUGAUUGUGUGCAGGGACCAGCAUUUGCAUUAAUAGGAGCUUGGCUUGUCGACCAAAAUCAGAACAAAGAGAUGAUCAAAAGAGAUGAAUACGAAGAUCUGUUUCAAAAGGCCAUUAUAAUGGCAGGACUUGGUCUAAUCUUAAGCCAUUUCGGUCCAAUAGAUGACUGGUAAGUUGCUUCCAACAUAUCUUUCACAUGUUUUGCUUAGAAUAAUCCAUCAUAAAAACUUGAUCUUUGGUUUGAUUGAUAAGUUUACUCUAGACUCAACAAACAACACUCAAGGAUAUACUGUGUUUUUCAUGACAGGACAAAUCUAGGAGCACUUGUAGCAGGGAUCGUGUACGGGUUCUUCACUUGUCCUGUGUUUCAACUUGGAAGAGGGAGUGAGAGACAAGAAGGGAUUGUGACGGUUGGACCAGAGAAACAGAACAAUGGUGAUCCGUGUAAAUCAUUUCUUGUGUUCAUAGUCUUUGUCGCUGUUCUUGUGACUUGUGUGGUGCUUCUUGGUGAUGGACCGUUGGACUUCCCUACGUACGACGAUGUUGUCUACUCUCUCAUUUAGUGUGUCAUCAUCGUCAAGACAUCAACUGGUUAAGGAACUUGUGUGUGUUUAUGUAGUGGAAAGCUCAAUUUGAAUAUUGGUGGACGAGAGUUCUUUUGUUUGGGGUAUAGCAAAGAUGAGAAAAACAUGUUUUGGCUAUGUCAAGUUUUUAUUUUUGGUCGAUCAUCAACUAUUUUGGUGUAAUUAUGUUGAAAUCUCAAGCUUUUUGUGUAACCAUGUCUCAGUGUAUACUACUUGUGUCACUUUAGUAGUAUUAUAACAAUUAAAUCGGCAAUAACAACUAUUAAAACAGAAAAGAAUGGUUGUAAACUUCAUCAGUUCGACAAAGCUUAAGCAUAUUUUAAGGGGUUUAUGAUUAUCAUACUUAAAGAAACCUAAAUACUAUGUUGAGAAAGUCUAUAACAAAAAAAGAACACGAUAAUUAAACCAAUAUCCGAGAAAAUAAGUUUUUGAAUUUCAUUAAGAGGAAAAUAGCAAAUUUCGAGGAACCUAAAAGAGGAAUCAAUCGCAAAGUAGUUUUCAAAUUGUUUCCAAACAAACAAAACAACAAUAAUAGAAAAAAGUGUUAUCUUAUAAUAAGAAUCCUGAGCUAUCUCUCACUCAGAUUAUCACAUAAACCUUCUAGGAAGUUUCUCUAUCUUUAUAAAAUGACUUCCACUUCUUCAGUUUUUACUCUGCACCUUCGGGCUUCGAAGCCUCCUUUAUCUCAUCUCCUGCUUCAUCCUAUCAACCCAAAAAAGAAACAAUCAUGUCAAUUACAAAACUAAGCAAGCCCUAAGUAAUAGUGAACGAUAGAUGAAUCUUUGUUGUGUCGAGGCUUACUGUCAUGUCUGAAGUCCAGAGAGUGAGGUUGUCUCUGAGAAGUUGCAUAAUCAGUGUACUGUCCUUGUAUGAUUCCUCACCCAAAGUAUCCAACUCGGCGAUAGCUUCAUCAAAAGCCUGCAGAACCAAUUGAGCUCAUUAAGUUUUAGAAAGUUGAAAACUUUCACAUGGUUAAAGAAGAUGGUGAGAAAACAAACCUGCUUUGCGAGGCUGCAAGCACGGUCAGGCGAGUUUAGGAUUUCAUAGUAAAACACAGAGAAGUUGAGUGCAAGACCAAGCCUUAUCGGGUGAGUGGGAGCUAACUCAGCAAUGGCAAUGUCCUGCAUUAUCACAGAAUAUAGAAACAACAACAAAAUCAAUCAUAGCUAGCUACAAAAAAGAAAGGUAGUAUCGAAUGUUGUAAUUUAAAGGAAGAAUUAUCACUUGCCUGAGCAGAUUUGUAAGCAACCAGAGUGCUUUCAGCAGCUUCUUUCCUCUCGGCUCCAGCUUUAAACUCAGCAAGAUACCUGUGGUAAUCUCCCUUCAUCUUAAGGUAAAACACUUUAGAUUCAGCUGGUGAAGCAGAUGGAAUCAGAUGAGCUUCAAGAACAUUCAAAAUCCCAUCGCAGAUUUUGUUAAGUUCGGUUUCGAUUUUGCCCCUGUAUUCCUUGAUGAUAGCGACAUGUUCUUCGUUCCCUUUGCUAUCUUCCUUCUGCUCAAUCGAAGAAAUGAUCCUCCACGAAGCUCUUCUCGCCCCGAUCACAUUCUUGUAAGCAACGGAGAGAAGGUUCCUCUCUUCAACGGUGAGUUCCUCGACAUCCACGGUCUUUGCAACUUUCUCCAUGAAUUCAACCAUUUCUUCGUAACGCUCAGCUUGCUCGGCUAACUUCGCCAUGUACACAUUCUCUUCCCUUGAUGAUUCAGUCGACAUCUUCGAUUUGAGAAUCUAGAGUAACACCAACAAAGCAGAAACAGUUACUAACCCUUAAAACCGUGCAAUAAUUGAACAAAACCAUAGCAUCUACACACUCAUUUACUAAAUCAUGUUUUUUCAUCGGAUUAAGUACACACUCAAGAUCUCACAGAAAAUAGCGAGUGAUAUUACUCUACUAACUCUAAAGCCGUGCAAAUAUUGAAUCAAGCCAUAACCCAAAUCACCAUCUACACACUCAUUCACUGAAUCAUGUUCUAAUCAUGUUCUUUAUCGGAUUAAGACCACACUCAAGAUCUCACUGAACUCAUCGAUAAGAACAGUGAUAUCUAGAGCAAAUCCUACAAAGCGAUAACAAAUUAACUCUAAUAACCCCAAAGCCGUGCGAAAAUUGUUUCAAGCCAUAACCCAAGUCAAACAUCAAUACACUCAUUCACUUAAUCAUGUUCUUUACGGAUUAAGAACAACGUCAUGCUUUGACACAAACAGCAUUAAGAACAGUGUGAUGAUGCAGUCAACAUCUUUGAUUAAAGAAUCUAGAGCAUAUCCUAUAAAGCGAAAACAAAGUAACUCUACCAACCCUAAAACUGUGCAUACACUUGAAUCAAACCAUAAUCAAAAUCAUCAUCUACACACUCAUUCACUAAAUCACACUGUUCUUCACUGAAAACAGAGAUAAGAACAGCGAAAAUUGGCCAAUCCAACACAGAAUACGAACAUACUCGAGCUCUCUCACUCAAACCAAGGAUAGAUCGAUCACUAGAAUGGAACAAUAGAACAUCAGAUCUACACGAACGAGAAGUUGAACGAAGGAUGAUUAGAGAGAGAAACUUCAGGGCUUACCUUUUUUUUCUUUUCUUUUUCGUGUGAAGAUCUGAUUCGAAUUGCUGCAAGUGGUUUGAAAAUUUGGAAUAUGAAGAAACUGUGAAUCUGAUACAAUUGAAAAUGGAAUAAAACUGUUUUCGAGGCGUAGAGUUAAGAGCUCCAAUAUUUUCUUGACAAGUGUCCGAUGCUACAGAUGACCGACGAUUCGACCGACCACGUGUCUACCCAUGCUGCUGAGAUCUAUUAUAGAACUCUGAGCUGAUAAAUGGGCCAAAUAAUGGGCCUGAUCGUUUACUGUUGAAGCGGAGUCUUGCGACUCUCAGUCUCGCUUGUAUUCUUUGAAGUCAUCGCUUGACUGAGGGGACAAAGUUAAAACUAAAUCAUGAAGGAUUUGGAUAUGGAAGUUUUUUUUUUUUGUAAACAUGUUAAAAUUUUAUUAUCGAUUUUCGAAUUUUUUAUAGAAAUUACAGAGAUUACAAGGAAAGCAGAAAGACCGAAAAUAAAAAACUACUAACAAAUCCGACAAAUGCAGCAAACAACAACGAAAGUAUAAGAAAAUGGAAUGCGGAAUUGAAAUAAAACCGAAGCAAAACCAGACGGGAAAGCAGCAGUCGCACGCCAAAACGCAGACCACCCCGUAAUUGCCACAGCUCCAAAGAACUAGAGUUCUCAUCUUUGUUACCACAAGCAUCUUCCCGAGGCCAACCCUCAAACCUCAAAAGAGAGACGCUUACAGCUUCUCCGAGAACUAACGGAAUUUCCGGAUUCCGUAACGGACUAACCUGCAACGGUUGACAAGGGAGCCCGCAAGGGCCAUCGGAGAGUCACUUCGGACUACCAUUCCCGAAAAAACGAAUUUCCUCGAGAACCAGCUCCCACAGCUACAAACUAGCCGCAACAACAAACCGGCGCCUCAACAAUCACGUCCAGUAAUACUCCACCAUCUACACCGGAUCACAUCCGGAGCCACCACAAACCAAGAACUAUACACAAACGCGGAGCUAUCGCAAAUAAUCGGACACACGCACCUUCGGAAAAUCUCAGGCCACACCGAUGCUGUAGACGGCGGAGGAGCCAAAAGCUGAGACAAACCAGCGGGGCAACCGCCGAGCCACCCGUCUUGAGCCACUGCUGAGAGACACCGUCGAUGGAGCCGCACCUGCCGGAGAAACGAGAGCCAACACUCCGAGGCUUGCCACAAGCCAAAAGCCGCUGCCAAAACCCCUUAAGCCAGAGAUCAAAUUCGUCCUCAAAAUCCAAUACUUGACCGCCGAGAUUGACAGAAGCUCUUUACUAUCUAGCCACCACUCCGACACCUCGCGAAUGAAGCUUGAGAGGGACUGUAGCCGGAAGAGACAGCCACCACCUGCACACCUUCGACUAAAGCCAGAGAGCUCGUCUCAGGCAGGAGACUCUAAAAGAAACGCCGAGGAAACACGCCGGAGAAAAAAACAAGCCAGAUGCGAGAAGAGAGGAAGAGACGCCGGAAAAACGAAGCCAGACAGAGGGGGACGCCAACUACGAAUGAAGACGGAACACCUCCACCGCGGAUCCAACGCCGCUGAAGCCCGUGCCGCCGUCGUCGAGAACCCACCGACAAAACCACCAUCGUUCCUGCAACACCCAGCACGGCGGAAACCAGAUCUAAAGAGAAAAAGAAGAGAUGCAGAAGAAAGAGGGAAACAUGGGGGUCCUUCCUCCGGCGACGGUGAGCCACCACAUGCGCCGGAGAGGGAGAUCGGGAAGUUUUAGUUUGUCUGCAAGUUCAGAUUUUAAAAUCGCGGAGAAGGAGAAGAGGAGAGAGAAAAUUCCGAUUUGGAAUGUUGAGAUAUUGAUUUUUUACUUUUUGGAUAUGGAAGUUUUGAUAUUGAAUUUAAUU